CUCCCGACAAGUCUGCGUGGUCCCGAGCAAAGCCCUCCUUCCCGAGACAGCAGCGCCGACGCAGCGGCUGAUUGGCUCCAUGUGCGAAAGCUCAAGAAAGCAUCGGGAAAGUUUUGAAAGAAAAUCAAAACUUCCUGCUUCAAGGUGGUCCCGGGCUGCAGUCCGGAGAGCCGAAUAUUUAUAACGCGUGCUGCGUGAUGUGGGCGCGCGCGCGCAGGAAGAGCAGCACCCCACGUCGCACUUUUGAGCAACUUUAAAGCCUACUCUUGUUAUUGUGGGCAUAUUUUUUUUUUUAAGUAAUUGUAAAACAAACCAAAGAAAGGCGAAAGAAGUGAAAUCAAGAUGUGGAAAAUUUGGGGAAUUUGGUGAAAGGCUACAGCGAUCUCUGCUGCUGGGUUUUUUGUGCUUUUUGAAAAGCGUUCUCCCUCCUCUAGCCCGCUGGAUGUUGCUCUUUUGGGAAGAAAAGACUACAGGAAAGUCGAGAUUUCGGAACCAGGUCCAGAUCUUGGAAGUGGAAUCCUCCGUAAUAAAGAAGACAAGGAUCUCCGGAUUUCUAAUGACUCUCUAACAAUACCGCCCCAGUCUUUGAAAGGUAUGCUCUUUUUUUCUCUCCUCUGUCUCCAACUUGAAACUGAUUUUUUUAAAAAAAGUAAAAAUCCUCAUUCCCCCUUACGAAAUUUUUGACAUUGCGUGCAGACUUUGCCUUCCAAAUGGUCUUAGCGUUUGUGACAAAGAAAAAAAGAAAUGAUGGGGGGGGAGAGAGAAGCAGUAGAUAUUUUAUUUUUUCUGAAUCGAUAAAGAGUGCACAGUGGCAGGAAUUGUUAAUCACCCUCAAAAGAACUUUAGAAGGGUUAUCUGCAGGGAAGGAGCUUGUGUGAAAUCUCAUCUUCAAAAGUGUUCCCAUUUGAGGAGAGCUAUGCAGCAACUUCCUAACUUGUAACUUUUGCGCAGUUGGUUAAAGGAAUUGUGGAUUCUUCUCAUUCCUUACCAACCAAAUGAAAACAAAAAUUGUAAGUUUGCUCUCCUUCGGCCCCCCCAAUAUCUCACCUUUUCUGACAUAUUUUGGCCCAACAAGCCAACAGCAGUCAUCCAUUAUCUUCAUCCAAAUUCCUGGAACUGGUUCAGAUCCAAUUAAAAUUUGAGGCAGAAUCAACUUUACAAAUAUGACAAAUUGUUAGGAAGAGAUUAUGCCCAUCGUCCAAAUGGAGCCUUUUCUCUGGGUUUCUUCAUUGUAAUUGUAUUUACUUUUCACACCUCAGUGGUUAAGUGGAGGUUGCAGGAUCAGGCACUUGGGAGUAUCUGGGGGCUCCAUGUGUGUAUAAGAGGGAUGGUGGCACUUCUGUUAAAACUUUUUCUCAAGCAAGCAGGCAAACUUCAAAGGCUUUGAGGGGGCACGCUGCAGUUGUUUAAAUUAAAUUAUUAACAUCAGGGUGGAUUUCCCCACCAGCUGGAGUAAAUCAAGACAGUCCUCUUGUUGUGUGGCAUUUCGUAUCAUUCGCAUCCUUUUGUAAUGCUUUUAGGCCACAGCUUUAAGAAAUGAUACAGGAGUACAUAACAUUUAAUAGACUGACAAAAGGGCCCAAAUAUUAGAUCUUUAAGCCGUUUCCACAAGUGACACUUAAAAUCCGUCAAACAUUCUGGAUCUGGUAACAUAGCAUAUGGUUUUACGGCAGAGAUUUUCAACUUUUUGAGCCCACGGCUCCCUCGACCAACUACAUUCUUUCUGUGGCUCCCCUGUGGGGCUCAGGAGCCCAGUUAUGUCCCCCCUUGUCUGCAGAGCCAGCAGCCCCUCAGCCCUUUUCGAACACCCUCCCAUGUGGAGUGUUCCCUCAGCCUCCUCCCUCCUCCCCUCUCCUUGGGAGUUCUCUGGGCAGCAGCCCACCCCUUGUCUCUGAGCUGCCCCCCACCUGCCUGGACUCCCACUUGUCUGUCCACUCCCAACCAGUUGGAUGGGCUCCUCCACCCACUUUCUUGCCUGCUCUGAGGCCACCUCGGCUCCUGGCACCCAGCACCCCCUGGCCAGCCCCAGAGGCACCAUUCGCCUGGGGAGCUUGUAGCCAGGGAGGCAGAGGCACAAGAGGUCAUCAGACGAGGGAGGCAAGGAAUGGGGGACAGAGGCCAGGGUUGCCUGCAGCACCCCUGACUAUCAGUCAAGACACCCCAAGGUGUCACGGCACACUGGUUGAAAACCACUGCUUUAUGGUAACAUAAACCCACAUUUGCCAGGAAUAUAUCUACAUGUUAAAAUUUACUUCUUGUACACUUUCUAUCCCAUGUUAAACUUGUAGACUAUUCUGGAUUGAAUGGCAUUUGUAAGCUUUAACCUGGUUUCAACCAUGUUUUCCCUUCACACCUCCUGACCGAAGAGAAUUGUCUUUUGGUGAAAGGGUUUGGGUUAGUCACCAAACAAUCCUCACAGCCUCCAGGCCACUCUGAAGGAAGCCAUGAUGCCUAAACCGGUUUAAAUGUGUAGUGCAGAUGUGCCCUUAUAUGCCACCUUGUGGAAAGGCCCUUAUUGAAUGGGGAAACCUUGGUUACCCCAGUUUUGUGGAGCCAGUCCAUUAUUCUCUUCAGAAUAGCAGUUUGGAGGAAUCCAGAUCCUCCCUCCUGCCCACCCCCUUCAGCAAAAAGGAAAAAAGGAACCCCCGAGCGUGACUCAUCUCUAACAUUCUGUGACACAAGAGAGAAAAGAAGAGAAACAAAGCCCUCCGUGACAAGCUUGGAAAAAUAAUUAAGAAUCCAUUUCCCUUGUCUGCUGAAAUCGGCAGCUGGAAUGACCUGUGUGGACUUGUUGAACUGCUAAAGGAGAUUCGGUUGCUGGGGAUGCCUCUUGACUUUGCAGCUCAGAUUAACAACAAUCUGCCUUGGGUGAUGGAUGGAGGGGGGAGUGUGAAAGGGAUGGGGCUCUUCUGAGCACUGAAGGGGAAAAGUGGGGGGCGGGAGUGGGGAAGAGGUCUUGUGGAAGUUUCUUGCCUCCUGGAAAAAUCCACUCAGGGUUUUGUAACAGAGAUGCUGGCUGCAAGGUUUGGACACACAAGGAGAGAAAGCUGAGAUCAGAGUGAGUUUGCUGCUUGCAAAUUGUUUGGUGAAGGCUGUGGGCGAACAUCUGGCCGAGGACUGAGGAGUAGGACGAGUUAGCUGUUGAUGCUUCACGCUCCAAAUCUGUGCUUCAGACAGUGCAGGCAUGGCCAAGCGUCAGCGCACAGCAGCUUUAUGUGAACCCUGGUGGCUCUACCAAAUUGUAAUCAAGGCGUGGUAAAACAUUUUGCUCAUAGUUCCACUUGUUUGGGAAAGAAGCAACAAGACUUUAGCAUAUUUCAGAUUCUGUUUGUUGUAUCACCAUCUCAGGCAGGUUCUGGAAAAGCAAAGUUCUGCUGCCAGUGUGCUGCAUGAUGGGACCUUUCUGGAAGCUCCCCCCUCCCCGAUCUUUCACAGUAGGGCAGCGAUGGGGAAUUGGUGGCCUUCCGGAUGUUGUUGGACUACAACUUGCAUGAUUUAUGACCAUUGGCCACACUGGUUGGCGGAGUUGAGACCUGGAGUCCAGCAACAGCUUUCCCAUCUACACAGCAUGGGAAACUGACAUGAAAAGUGUAUGGAUGAACCCGUGACUUCUCAGAAGUCUGGAUUGGAAAGUUGCUCUGUAACAUGUAAAUAGACGUCUUCUGCCCUUGCAGUUGUUAGUAUUGUAAAGGUUGCUAACAUGUGUUAGCAGAGGUUACCAUAAAGAGCUAUGGACUGACCUUUUGAAAACUGGACAACGCUAAUCUUUUGUACAUUGUAGGCAUCUGCAUAUUCAGCAGCUGUCUCCUGUUUCUUCUGUUAGGCUUGGUUACUGCAGACCAUCACAGGAUAUAUCUAACCACUGAGGAGACCACAACAUAUUACUGAAAUACUGUGCAACAGCAGUGUUCCCAAUAUGUAGACUAUAGGACUUCUCACUGUAAAAUUUAACAUAAAAGUUGUUGUUCUUGUUAUUUUUACUAUUAUUUUAAAUCCAUCUAUCCAAGCUGGAAAAAAAUUUAAACACUAUACAUGGAAGCCUGCAUCAGUUUGGAGUCUGUUUAGUCUGUGUAGGAGUUAGCAUCAGAUUUUUAGAUUGAUGGUGUGCCAGCCUUUAGUUCCCAUCUGACAGGGGUCAGUUUGUCCCUUGUAAAUGUUUCCUCUUCCUUCGCUGUCUUCUCCACUGUUGAAACGUAGUGGCUGGUGUUCGUUACAGUUAAACUUCAUAAAGUGUUGCAUGCAUUGAUGUUGCUACAGACAUGAAUAAUGUUCAGCUAUCCAGUGAAGGCCUUUAGGUUUUUCCUCUGACAAUCCAGCCAUAUGUUCCUACAGUUUCCCCCUAUCUCUGUUCUCCUGCACCACUUAAUGGUUCUGUCUUCAAAGUCUUCCUUCAAAGUCUUCCAAACCCAAACCCUAACCCUAACCCUAUAUAGACCUUUUAGCCUCUACGUGUAGCUUCCUACCCUGUUCCCCAUUCAUGUGUUCUUCGCUGAUGCAUUUUUAGCCACGCUGUCUGUGAAGAGAUGCCCUUGCCCACCUCUUCAGCCUGAGACUGAGUGGAAAGUAUUUGUUUGUUUGUUGCAUUCAUAUUCCCACUUUUUUCUCCAAGAAACUCCUCAUUGAAUCCCCACAACAACCCUGUGAGGUAGGCUAGGCUGAGAGCCGAUGCCUGGCCUGAGGUCACUCAGCCAGCUUCAUGGUCAAGUGGGGAUUUGAACCCUGGUCUCCCAGGUCCUAGUCCAGCAUUCUAAUCCAAGGGUCAGCAAACUUUUUCAGCAGGGGGCCGGUCCACUGUCCCUCAGACCUUGUGGGGGGCCGGACUAUAUUUUGAAAAAAUAAUAAUGAAUGAAUUCCUCUGCCCCACAAAUAACCCAGAGAUGCAUUUUAAAUAAAAGGACACAUUCUACUGAUGUAAAAACCCUCUGAUUCCUGGACCGUCCGCGGGCUGGAUUGAGAAGGCGAUUGGGCCGCGUCCGGCCCCCGGGCCUUAGUGUGCCUACCCAUGCUCUAAUCACUACGCCACACUGGCUCUUGGGUCAUGAACCCACAUUCUGAGCUCCCAUCUUGGGGGGUUGGCACACCCAGCCGGCAUUCCCAGGGCUGAGGGUUGGAGAAGCAAGCGGGAGGGUGACAGGGAACUUUGGGUGUUAUCUGGGAACCACCGCCCUCGGCCGGCUGCUACACCAUGCAGGCAGCGUCCUUUGGGGUGAGGCUGAAAAAUUCACAGGCCCCGGGCAGCUUCCCAGAUUCAGGGCCUAAACUGAUUAUUCCAUGGGACAGAAGCGCUGCAGGAUCGCUCCACCUAGGGAGCUCUGCUACCCAUCCCCUGAGUUGACUUCCAGGUGCCCUCUCUCCUUGAAGCCAGUUUCCCAAGUGAGUUGUCAGAAAGGAAAGAAUUCAGCCCCAAAGGCUUAGCUUGCUGAAUAAGUGAUUCAGGGACUUUUAUGAAAAGUGCAGGUUUCUUCCAUCUUUGCUGGAGGGGUGUGCCGCCUGCGGAAGAUGGAUUAAAAGCACACAUGCACACCCAUCUCUGAAUUUUAAUUUUCUAGGCCAGGGAUGAGGAUCCUGUGCUCUUCCAGAGGUUGUUGGACUUCAGCUCCCCUGACGCUUAGCUAUACUGGCUAGAGCGGGGGCAGGAUGGCCCUUGGCUAUGCCCAUAUCUUUAUGCCUCUUUAUGGGACCACUUAAAGUACCACUAUUCUUGCACCAAGGAUUGCAGUCUGUCACCCACCAACUAUAGUUUUCAACUAAACAAUCCCCCCAUCCGAUUAAACAUUGCAGAAUGUCUGCCAUAUACCCUAGUUGUUGAUUAUCCAAUGGCCUGACUUGCACUGGCUUUUGAGCAAGUGUAUGUGUGUGAAUAAAUUGACCAUAACUGCUACCUUUAAAAAUAGCCCCCCCACCCCCAAAUAUCUAUUAAACAUUCUUACAUCUCAUUUAAAUGGACCUUGGUUCAUUUUGAAGGGCUGCAACUCAAAAAUGUUUAGCACUAUUUACUAUUUGGGUAGGAAGUUAUAGAGAGAUGACGGUUGGAAGGAAGUGUGUGUGUGUGUGUGUGUGUGUGUGUACAAAAAAAAUUAUGCAUUUCCCACAAAUUUCUUAUAUACAUCAUACAUGGCCCAUCACAUAUCACUUCCCUUAGGACUUCCCAGUCCAUCUCUCCAUGGCAUUCUAUGCAACCCUUGUUCUGCUGCAUAUCCUGUUGUACCACCCUAUUUUAUCUCGUGUGUUUCCUUUAUUUAGUACUAACUGCAGCUCAUAUGGCUACUCCUACUUGCAGGUUAAAUUGAGUAUUAUAUCUCUCGAGAUAUACUCCAAAAGACUUCCACUCCUUUCUUAUCUGUGUUUCACCUUUGUUUCUUAUAAUUCUGUAUAUUCUAUCAAUUUAUUUUGCCAUAUUUCUUUUGUUGGUAUUUCUUUUUCUUGACAUUUUUCACCUAAACUAUUGUAGCCACAGCUGUUGCAUAUAAGAGGUUGAGUGCCUUCUUUGGAAUAUCAUCACUUACUAUCCCUAGUAGAAAGGCCUCAGGUUUUUUGGGAAAUGAUCUUUAAAAUUCUAUAUGAAUCAUUUCCCAGUACUCUCUAGCAUAUUUACAUGACCACCACAUGUGCAUCGGGGCGCCUUCUACCUUUUGACACUUCCAGCAUAACGUGGACCCUUUUUAAUAAAUUGUUACCAGUUUGUUGGGUGUCAAGUACCACCUGUACACCAUCUUUUGUAAAUUUUUCUUGAUAACAGGCUAAGAUAUUCAUAGUUACAGGUAGGUAGCUGUGUUGGUCUGCCGUAGUCGAAACAAAAUAAAAAAAUUCCUUCCAGUAGCACCUUAGAGACCAAGUAAGUUUGUUAUUGGUAUGAGCUUUCGUGUGCUACUCGAAGGAAUUUUUUUAUUUUGUUUGAGAAAUUCAUAGUCUCCCCACAUAAUUUCUCCCAGGCAGACAUUUAUAUAUUAUAACCAACAUCUAUUACCCAUCUAGUCAUUGUCACCUUUGCCAUCUCAUCUUUGGUCCCCCACUCCAAUAACAGUUUGUAUAUUUUAGAGAUGAGUUUAUCAUCAUUUCCUAUUACACGUUUUUCAGAUUCUGAACUAGUAUAGGGGUACCUUGGUUCCCGAAUAGCUUAGUUGUCGAACAAAUAGGCUCCUGAACACCGCAAACCCAGAAGUGAGUGUUCCAGUUUGCAAACGCUUUUCAGAAGCCGAACGUCUGACGUGUCUUCCGCUUGAGUGCAAGAAGCUCCUGCAGCCAAUCGGAAGCUGCAGUCGAAUGGACUCCCGGAACGGAUUAAGUUCAAGAACCAAGGUACCACUGUAUAUUAUUCUACAUGAAGAUGCACGUUAACAAAUUUCUCUUAAAAUCAGCCCCAAAAGGCAAAAUAGGUACAGGUACAGGGGUUCUUUCUUGUAAAUUAUCUAAUCUCAGAUUAGUAGACAGAUUGGAAUUUAGCUAUCUCACACUUCUCUGAAUGUACUUGGUAGUGGUAAACCAAGAACAAACCUUCAUUAUAGCUCCUCGUUUGUCUUUAGUGAAACAAACUGCAAGUCUGGGUUCAGACAUAACUAAACUGUGCCUUAGGCAUGGACAGUGCAGCAGUGGCGGCGGCAGCAGGAGGAGAAGGACCUGGGGAGGAAAGCAGCAGCGUUGAUCUUUGCUCUGGGAACCACACUUUUGCUCAUCCAUGCCAAGCCAUGGUUUAAUUUAGUGUUACAUCCAAACUGGAUCUUUGUAUGCUCAAGGACUAGAAAGCGACUUUGAGGAGUAUUGCUCAGAGACUUCAAUGCAGGUGAGGGUACUUUCUUUUCCUGACUAUUCAGAAAGGGUCUUAAAUAAAAAAUUGUCCACUUUUCCACAUUUUCCCUAGAGCACACAGUAUCUGCUAGAAAAGUAACUUUCUGCAAAAAAACUGGAGAAUUGGAGUACCUCAGCUUUUUCUGGGUUUUCUGAUGGAUUUUUCAGAGCAGUAUGCAACUUGAAGUUUUCAUUGCAGGCAUUAAUCUGAAUGAACAGUAUUAUUAAAGGGCAGAAGAGGGCCAGUUUUGUAUUUUUAUAUAUAUUUCCCCACCAUGAAAGUAGGGAAUGGGUUUUCUGCCUCAGAGUGCCGUUGGCCGUCUCUGUUGUGUUGUGAUCCCUUAUUUGCUAGCUUUUACAAUAUGUGUUACUUCCACUUACAGUGAGGUGUUUUGUGGUUUUUUAGCUUUGUUUUGUUUUCGUUUUCAAUGUAAGAUUGCUACCUAUACUUUACUAUGGACCACCUUAAGAGAGGAGUUCCUUUUGGGUGACUAACUGGUAUGUAAAUAUUAUAAUGUGACCUGAGAAUCAAAGGGAGAUAUUGUAGAUACGUCCUGAGAGUAAACAUGUAGCCCCAUGGGCAGCUAUGUGAAGGCAAAGUCAGAAUAGUUUGGCUUGGCUGGGAAAGUUCACCUGCAUUCCAGGUCCAGACUAGCAUGGCUGCCAGACCUCACAUCAAACCAGCAUUGAUCACAUCAAUACUGAUGAUCACAUCACAUCAAACCAGCAUUGGUACAAUGGUCUAAUUUUCUAAGUUAGAUGGGUUCUAAGCUAAGUUCCUUCGGUCCCUACUUCAGGUCCCAAAUUGUGUCUCUCACUCAAUUCUACUGUUGGAAACGGUGAAUGCCCACUCUCCAGCAAAGUGCGGUGGGCUGCCUUGAAAUACUGGCUAAUGAUCUCGGUAUUUGGCCUGGGGAAGGAGUUACUUUUACAUCUAACCUAUGAAGUGGAGGGACUCAUGGUUGAAAACUAUGGCCCGAAAAGUCUCCUCAGUUGGUCUUUCACCAUCCUUUUUACAUCAUCCGGGCUAUGAUAUUGCCCUUAAAUCCCUGAGGCAGAGGUUAUGAUAUUCCACACAGUGGUCUUCGCUCUAGAUCCUAUGUAACCUGUCGACUGUUUGCAUUUGGAAUCCACUAUGGCCAUUUUAUUUCAUGAAUCUGUCUGUACCUAACUAUCGCCGAUUAUUCACCAAAGCUAGACCAAAUGUAUUUCCGUCAGAAGUACUAAAUGGCAGACUGUCUGGUGUACCCUAUCAGAAUAGGCUCUGCUUAUGCUCUCAGGGUGUCAACUUUAUGAAGCAGAUCCUACUGCACUGUGAGUAGUUCAAACAAGCAAGGGAUCAAUUAAUUAAACCCCUAUUGGUAAACUUAACUGGAAAAUCCGAAACCUUCCACCUUAAGUACCUCAUUAGAGAUAUGUCAAAUGAUACUACCCUGGCCAUAGCUAAGUUCCUCUUGGAAGUAUUAAGAAACAGAAACCUACAUGCUCUGGAUGAAACAUAGCGACCGCCUUGGAACCCUUUCCCUGCAUUUCUGUUUUAUUUUGCUUUUGAAAAUGUUUUUGUGGGUCUUUGGACAGAAAUAAAGAAUGUGUAAAUAGGGAGGGAGCAGGUCCACACAAGUCUACAGUGUGCUUUUACGAUCCACAAGGUGAGGAAGCCCAUUAGGUUACCUUAUUUACUCAAAUGUAAUGCACAACUUUUUUGGCCAUAUUAUGUCGUGAAAAUUAGGAGGCGCAUUACAUUGGAUAGCACAUUACAUUUGAAUAAACACUUGAAUUCACUAAGGUGAUGAGAGGAAAGUCUGCCAUCUGGUGAGUUAAAAAGGCCGGUGUGGCGGUGGCGGUGGCGGACUGAGCGUGCCAUCCUCCUCUGGCCUCCUCUGGCUCUCUUUGCUCUGAACGCCCGGCCACACGGUUCAAGCGGCUCUUGCAGGGCUGAUCUCCCUGAAAGCAGGUGAUGGAGGCUGGCUGGCUGGCUGGCCAGCAAAUGGUCACAGGCAGAGUCGCCCUCCCUGCGCGCAUGGCAGCCAUGGAGAAGCUGAUGAAGGCCUUAGAGUCCCUCCAUUCUUUCCAGCAGCAACAGGGGCCUGUUGAGUAGGGUUAGCCAAUGUGGCGGUUUCCAGAUAUUGUUGGACUUGCCAGUCCCAGCCACCAAGGCCAGUGGUAAAGGAUGCUGGGAAUGGUACUCCCAACAAUACCUGGAAGCCACCACAUUGACUGCCCAUGGACUAGAAUGUGAAGUGAGUGUUUGGUCUUAUUUCAGCCUCAAAAAGACAUUUUUAAACAUUCAUACUUGUAAGCAAACAUACACAAAUGAAAAAGGAUUAGGGCAGGAUUCUCAUCUUACUGGGGGAGAAUCUACAAUCUUGGAAAAGGCAUGGAAGGAAGAGUUACAAAACAAGAAAAGGAAUUGGGAAGAGCUGGCUAGUCUGUAUUAGGGAAUGGGUUAUCAUUUGAGGCCUGAGGACACAGGUGGCGAACCAUCACCUUCCAGAUGUUGCUAGACUACAACUUCCAUCAUCUCUGACCAUUUGGCCAUGCUGGCUGGGGUUGAUAGGAGCUAGAGUGCAGAACUUCUUGGUGGUGGGGCAUCAGGAUAGCCACCCUCUGCAUUAGGAUAUUGGACACGUUUAAUUUAUGGGGCUUGACCAGGAUUGCUGCAAGUUUUUUGUUCUGCAUCCAGUUGUAGAAAGGAAAUAUAUUUUAAUAAGGACAGGAAAGCUGUGAUUUUACCACAAUAUAGGCUGCUUGUCCAUUAACUGCUCCUGUCCUGUAUUCCUUAAUGUGGGGGGAACUAACCUUUGCUGCGUCCAAAUGUUGGACUACAACUCCCACCCACCCCAGCCAGCAUGGCCAGUGGUUGGGGGCGGGAUAGGAGCUGCUGUUCAACAACAUCUGGAAGGCCAGAGAUUAACUACCCUUGCUUUAACGUAUUGACAUCUGAGGCCCCGGCGCAAGGAGAAGGGUGGAAGUAGUAGAAAGGACUUCGUAAUAAGAAAAAUCCCAGUUGUUUCAAAACAGCCCAGCCGCCCUCACUCUUCCCUGUAUGGGAAGCUCCUCUGCUUUGAUCUCUGUAGAGAGAGAGCACCGUAGUCUGUCUGAUUUCCAAGCCAAGGCCUGGCAGCCAUAGCAAUGGAUGCCAAGCUCGUGUGUUUUCAGGGCUAAUGUGGGCCCUGAUAGUUCCAUUCAGGGCCCCUCCUCUUCUUCUUCCCCUGGCCUUUGCAUGGGGCAGCUUACAGAGCCCACUCUGUGCCCAGGGCAUGUUUGUUUAUUUGUGUGCUUGGGUCUGCUGGUGUUUGCCAGUUGGCUUGGGGAAGGCCUUGGAGAAGGUGGGCGGAGAUGUGUGCGUGUUUGUGUGUUAUGAGCGCAGCUGGAAAGUAGAGAUGAAGCCAGUGCAGGUCAGCUGGCUAUCUUACACUAUUUGUGUGCAAUGGAAGCCUGAAACAUACACACACUGCUAUUUUUUGCUUUUCCACCCCACUCUUUUAUAUACGCAGGAAGCCGCAUGUUCUCCAAUAGGGAUGGAUGGUUCUGUCAGUUUUGGUUUUCUCAGUUUUUCAUUUUUCCAGUCUUGAAUUCUAUUCUCCACCUUUCUGCAGCAAUCUGGAGGGGAAAAGAGGUUGUUGUUGUUGUUUUAAGAUCCUCAUGAAAGUUCAACUUUUUAGUGCUAAUUACUUCUAUUUUAUUAAUUUUUUUGCAAUUUUGCUAAUUAUUUAUUUCCGCCUCUAUGAGCCCAAGGCAAGUAAAAAUGCAAGUUAAACUUGCAUAACUUAACAUAUAAGUUGCUGUGUUCUGGCAACAUGUAACUGAGCUUGAAUUACCACUCCAUCUUUUUGAAACUUUAUUCAGGAGUGGAGGGAAAAUGUCUACUCUUCUGCCAGUCAUUAAUCACCCUGAAUGUGCGAAACAGUGAUUGAAACAUUGAGGAGGAUAGCCACUCAUCAUCAGAAUGAUCGGUGAUAAUACAAACUUUAAGUAACAAACAUUUUUUUUCUUUAUUAGGAGUUAAAAGAAUGGCUUUCUUUUAGUCUUCCCAAUAACAUUUAAAGAGUGGAAUGGUUAUUCUUGUCUGUGGUGUUAAGAAAACACAAUGGAUUAAUUAAUCCCGAAUAAAAGGCAUGGAUUAGUGUGAUGGCUCUUGUAAGCCUAAAAACUGAGAGAAAUCUUUUGGUACCCACUAUGAGCAUUUUCACAGAAGAGACUUAAAGUGGCUCUUGAUUUAAUUGUGUUUGUAACCUGAGUGUGAAACCCAUACUGGCCAGAAUGCAUAUAUGUAUUACAGUACAAAUGCCUUUCCUGAGGUUUGUCUCCCACAUUUUAAACAGCCAGCUGUUGAUAUAAAUACAGUGUGAGAGGCUCAAAGAUAAUUUAAAAUUCAGAGUUGUGUCUGAGGGCAUGCAGUAAACCAGAGGUGCCAACUCCCAAGGGACUGCGAUCUACUCAAAAGAGUUAAAAACUAAAAACUGGCAGUGAUCUACCCCCUUUUUGGGGGUUCAGGUUUUUUUAAGGUGCAGGGGGGAAAUGUUGAUUUUUUUUUUAGGGGAGCCAGUGAUCUACUGCAGGCGUCCAGUGAUCUACCAGUAGAUCACGAUCUACCUGUUGGACGUGCCUGCAGUAAACUAGUGCUUUUCAAACUGCACUUUGACAAAACUUUAGGUUCCCUUUGAAACUCACAAUCAAGUUCACAAUCAAAUAAUGUUGUGGUUUUCAAACUUUCCUUCAGGGAACCUUUUCCAGAUUAAAAUAUCCACAGAGCAAAGGAGUACCAGCAGAGACAGACAAGCUGCUGUUAGGAAGUUUCCCUUCCAUUAUUGAUCUUUUCACUAGAGCAGGGAUGAGGAAAUCAGGAGCCUUCAAAUGUUGUCAGGGCUCACCCAGACUUGCUUUUUUGCCACAUUUCUAGGCACAGAUCUGAGCUCCAUGUCUGAGCACUUUUUUUUUCUUUUGGCCUCACUGCUUUUCCUGUGAAAACCACUGAAUCGGAGCAAACGGCAACCUGCAGAAAACCCUAAUUGCCAGAUGUUCCAAUUUAGCGCCAAAGAACGGGUUUUCCUGGGGGAAACUGUGGCCUCCCCUCCAAAAAAGUGGUCGGAUCCUGACCAGCAAAGCACAGACCUGUGCUUAGAAAGCGUGGAUGAGGCCUCAGACUCUGCCUUCCAUCAACUGCCCUCAGCUCCCAUGGCCAGUAGUCAGGAUUGAUGAGAGUUCUGGGCCACAAUUUCUGGAGGACCACAAUUUCCCCAUCCCUCAUCAAAAGCAUUCAGUGCUAGAUCUAAAUCAGCAAGUGACUGUGAAUUAUUAUUUAUUCCUUAUUCAUCAUCCAUAAUAUGAAUGUGCUGUUGUGAAAGACCCUUCAUCUUGUGUACACAAAGGCAUUUUGUACAUCAGAAGCAUACUUUGUGGCUGGCAUAUGUGACCAUUUCCACAUGAUGUUACGAGGCAAAGGGCUUAGUGUGGAAUCUCCAGUGAAGCUAUACCUUGCUCAGCAAUGCACCUAGCAGACCAUGCCAUCACUGAUCUCUGGAAAUGGGUUUGUUACCUGUGAUAUCAGUAAACAAAGCUUAUUGCUGCUUUACUGAAGAUGCAGUACUUGCUAUUAUCCAGUAACCCAUAUAUUGCCUUGCUAUGGGGAACAUGGGAAUCUUUCAUCUCACCGUUCCUCCAAGGCAGUGGUUCUCAAAGGGUGUGACACAUCACACUGGUGUGGCAGGAGAGGAUGGCAAGUGGGGAGGGAAUAUUUGUAAUUUCAGAGCCUUUGUCUAUGACCUUUGAGAAUUCUUGGAGAACAGGUGAGGUCCCUGCAGACUGGAGGCAGGCAAAUGUUGUCUCCAUCUUCAAAGGGGGGGAGAAGACCCAGGUAAAUACCGAUUGGUGUAUUUGACAUUGAUACCAGGGAAGGUCCUAGAGCAGAUAAUUCAGCAGUUGGUCUGGCUUUAGCUGAGAUUCCAGCACUGAAGGGAGUUGGACUAGAUGACCCCUGGGUCCCUUCCAACUCUAAGAUUCUAUGAUUCUAUCAAGUGUUGUUAGUAGUUGUUUCUGUUUUCCAAUGCGUUUCCAAUGUGGUGCAAGCAAAUUUUUGUUCUCAAAGUGUGGCCCAGAGAAAAAAGUUUGAAAACCACUGCUCCGGGGAGCUUAACAUGGAAUAGCUUGUUCUUUCCCCCACCUGUUUCAUUUCCACAACAACCCUGUAAGGUAGGCUAGACUGUGACAGAAGGACUACUCAAGGUCAUCCAGUGAACUUUAUUGCUGUGUGUGGAUGUGAAACUUUAAAAAUUUAACAGCAAUUCCCACAACAGCAUACCUCUCAAAGUAUGUUGUAUUAACACGUUGGACCCAAAAAUCUGCUUUCCUGAUUUGUAGCCCGACUACAUACCUGUAAUCCAUUUAUUUUAGGUAACUUUUAGCCACAUUUUUCUGAGUACAGUAAAAGAUUAUAGUGAUAGCCAGCAGACUAUUUUUUCAAGAAAGCAUAAUAGAUAAAGCAAUUUAGAAUCAUUGUUAUAUUUAAUAAAAAAAUAUUUUUAUGUCAUGUGUAACCGAUGAGGUAUUAGUGUCUGUGCCUGCCUGUUUUCAUGGUUUCUCCCUGUCUGCUUUCCCAAGUGUAAGCCUGCAAGUGAGGACUGUGCCAUUAAAUGUAUAUAUUUUUACAGUGGCUAGAAAAGUUUAGGUAUUAUAGAUAGAUAGAUAGAUAGAUAGAUAGAUAGAUAUGGCAGCCCCGAGAAAAUGCCUUCUCAUGAAGCCAAAAGGCCAGCAGCAAUGGAGCGAGGCAAGCCCUCAGUUAGUAAGAAAGCCACAACAUUCCAUAAUGUGGAUACACUGCAGAGAAGGCCUGUCCUGUAAAGGAUAGAAUAUGGACCAGUGCUUCCCUCCUAGAUCUGACAGGAUGGGGAGGUAGAGGGGGCUGCAGUCAAGACAAGUGAACAGUAUGCAGCUGUGCCCAGUGGCCCUGGAACUCUCCCUUUCAAUUGGUUCACACCCCUCAUUUAUACACACAUGUGAAAUUUCGCAAAAUCACACGCUCACAUGUCCAGGCAAGAUUGGAAGAAUCCCAAGUGCUUAAUUUUCUCAAGGGAAAGGCUCCAGUGCUAAAGCAUGUCUGGAAGUUGCGCCUUUUGAUCCGAAAGGACACCAAUGCCACUGGUGUGUGACUCACUCAAGGUUGGAAUACAAUCUGCACUACUUCACUACUUGAAGGGUAAUACCUUAAACAACCUUUUUAUUCUUCAUUUCACUCCAAGGGCUCAUCCACACCUGCUUGUCCCAUGCCUAGAAACGGGUCCAAGCGGUAUUUCCCUUGAUCCGCUCUUUUCCCAGGGAAAAUCUGCUCUCUGGCUCCAAGCGCUUAUCUACACUUACCUUUCCUCCCCUUUUCCCAGGCAAGGUCCAUGCUUUAAAGCUCUGUGUUUGAGAGCUGGGGUUUUUUUUGUCUUUUGCCCUGGAGCUUUCCCCACAAAACUCUGCUCUUUAAAGCUCAAUUGGAGCAAAUGGCAACCUGUGGGCAACCCGAACUGCCAUUUGCUCCUAUUGUGCGCUAAGGAGUGGGUUUCUGUGGGCAAAGCUCCAGGGCAAAAACCCAAAACAAGCAAAUGCUCAGACACAGAGCAAAGUUUGGAGCUGUGCCUGCAAAUAGCAGGGCAAAAGGUAAGUGUAGAUAAGCCCUAAAACAGAACAAACAUCAAUCCGGAGGAAACCCAAAUUGCCAUUUGCUCUGACUGAGCACUAAAGAGCAGUUUUCCCCAGGGAAAAUCAGUGGGACAAGAAGAAGCAUGGAUAAGCCCCAGGUCACUUCUCUUUUUGUCUCAUAUCCUUUAGCGCUGUGGUGAGCAGACAAUAGGCUUGCAGGGUCUACUUUGUUUUUUUACUAGGACUCCUAGAUCCACCAACUGGAGCCAGCUACAAAAGACAUGCACUUAAAAGUAAAGGAUUCUGAGCCCAUGUAUUUGUUCUGAGUGCCAAAACUAAACUGAGUUCACAAACUGAGUCCACACAAAAAUAAGCUCCUGUGAUUUUUACCGUAUGCCAGCUUUCUUUAUUCAGCAGUGUAAUGUGUGUGUGAGUGUGUGUAGGCUGUGCGUGAUUUAUUUUGUUGUUGGCUAAUCAAUUGGGAGCCAGAAAUCCUUGCCAAAUCACCUGGUGAUCUACCACCCCAGCUUUAGAUUAUGAGUCUGUAGGUAAGGCUCUGUUCAUCUUAUUCCUGUGUGACGCCUGGGAUAUAUUAAGUGCUUUUAUGAAUAAUAAAUGGUGAUGAUAGGACAACAAAGAAACAUAACAAUAGGGCCCUGAGUAAAGCACGCCGUCUCCCUCAUUCUCUGGUUCCUCAUCCUUAGAUGAACUUCUACAUCUGGAGACCAUGAAGCCUUGUUCUCACAAACAGCCGAUGAAGUGGCAACCUGUGUCAGGACUGUGCCCUGCAGGCUGAAGUUGACUGCGUUUACUUUGUCGCAGAAUAAUGAUUUUUAAAAACCCGAACACAGAUAAAACUGAUAGAACCCUUCUCCCUAACCCCUAGUUUCUAUACUUGGGGCGGGGCAGGGAGAAUCAGAAUUGCAUAUGAACCCCAUCCUGUAGCCUAGAAUGGUUCAAGCAGAACACAAGAAGUCUGCUGUUUGUGAAAACUAGGCCUAACAGUCUACAACCCUGAAACAGGUUUGGACCCAGAGAGUUGGCAACUGCAGCUCUGAGUCUUCUCUGAGAGGGGGUAAUUUGCAGGGGAUAAGCAGAGGGAGCAAGAGGGGAUGUCUAAUCAUUCUUCUGAGCACUGGUUUCCCCCUGAAAUGCAUACCCUCCAACAUUUCUCCAAUGAAAACAGGAAAGUCCUACACCUGCCACAUAUUCCACUAUUUCCACUUCUGCCAGGAUUCCAGGCCUCUCUUUGCCUCACAAAUGCGGAACCCAAGGUUUUGAGUUCAAGGAAAAACAACACUGAGGGUCUUCCACUCCUUCACUGCAUAUUGCCGCUGCUGGGAACAUACAAAGCACCCUCCUGGAUUGGACCAGAGGUCCAGCAUCCUGUUCCCACAGUGGCCAACCAAAUGCCUCUGGGAACCCCACAAACAAGACACUCUCCUGCUCAUGCUCCACAGCAGCUAGAAUUCAGAGGCUUACUGUACUGCGGAUGCUGUGGAAUGCAGGAGCAGCAAGUGCACUAAUGUUACCUGUAAGGUAAAGGUAAAGGGACCCCUGACCAUUAGGUCCAGUCGUGGCUGACUCUGGGACUCUGGGGUUGCGGCGCUCAUCUCACUUUAUUGGCCGAGGGAGCCGGCGUACAGCUUCCGGGUCAUGUGGCCAGCAUGACUAAGCCGCUUCUGGCGAACCAGAGCAGCACACGGAAACACCGUUUACCUUCCCGCCGGAGCAGUACCUAUUUAUCUACAUGCACUUUGAUGUGCUUUUGAACUGCUAGGUUGGCAGGAGCAGGGACUGAGCAAUGGGCGCUCACCCCGUCACGGGGAUUUGAACCGCCAACCUUCUGAUUGGCAAGCCCUAGGCUCUGUGGUUUAACCCACAGCACCACCCGCGUCCCUAAUGUUACCUGUAGCCAGAGUGUAUAAUGUUCACUUUGGUCUUUGAGGCAGAUGGACUCCAGUAAAGCCUGCGAGGAUGGUCUAGUGCCAUAGCUUUUAAAGUAUGUGGCAGGCAGUACCUACCUAAGGGGGUUAGGUGGGAAAGAUUCUGCUUUAUCGUGUCUCCUAGUCCCGUUUUCCUGUAUGCGUUGAGCCAAGAUUCACCUGACCUCUCAUGAUUGAUGCAGCCCAGGUGCCUGUUUGGGAAGCCAAGGGCUCCUUCUCAUAGGGGAUCCAGUUGUAAUAUCCACCAGCUCCAAAAGUCGGGCAGAAGGGAUGUGUUAUGAAGAUUUGCUGUCUACGAGGUUUGAGAAACUCUGGAUAUGCUACUAGUAUGUCCCAGCUCUUGCACCUGCAACUUGAGUAACUAGGAAAUGGCACUGCUUAGUGGUGAAGAUCACAAUUCUUUCGCUCAGAAGCCUCCUGAUCACAUCACAACUCAGUUCUGAACUCACUGGGUGGCCUUAGGCAAGGCACAGCGGCCUCACCCUGCUACCUGCAAUUAAGAUUGACAGAUCUCUCGGACUGACCUGAAGUUUUGGAGUUGUAGCCUCCUCCUCCUCCUCCUCCUCCGAGACUGAGUCCUCCAGAAAAGGGCGAAACCUCAGGAGGCAGGCCAGGCAGGCUGUCUUUUGCAGGGCUUACCUUCAGCUCUCUUAAAAUCAUAGAAUCGUAGAGUUAGGAGGGACUUCGAGGGUCAUUUAAUCCAAUCUCCUUCAAGACGUGAAUCUUUUGCCCAACGUGGGGCUCUAACCCACAACCCUGAGAUUAAGAGUCUUGUGCUCAGCUGACUGAACUUGCCCAUUCUAAUGUUUAAAACUCCCUUUUGCCCCUUGUUCCCUUUCAAUGGACUUCUUUGCAGUGCACCAACUUGGGAGGGAGACAGGCAGGUUGACAUCAUGGUGGUGCGUGAUGUUACAAUGUCAUGCAUGACGCCCAUAUCUAAGCAGUCUGGAACUGGCUGAACAUUGUAGGGCCUUCAUCCUGGCUCAAUGCUGUGGUCUCCCCUCUGCUGUUCUCUCAUAUUGGAGAGAUGCUGUCCCUGUGACUCUGGCCAAACACGUGCUUCUUUUAUAGAGAUUUACGCUUUAACCUUCUUCUGCCAACGAUCCAGAAAUAUACUGGAUGCUCUGAUCAGUUUCUUGCCACUCAGUCGCUCCUUGAUAAAAAUCCUGGUAUAACAUACAAGGUGGCCAAAUUUUGUGCAGCAACAAUCAAAAUAUGACAUAUAACAAUUAGCACUCAGAAAUAGUAUAAUAUAUAAUAUAUCAACCGAUGGACACUUCUAGAUCAGAAGGGCUUUGGCAGCACAAAUACUAGAAGGGUUUCCUUUCUGACAGAUAAAUGACCACCCAGAACUGCUUUUUUAUGUAUAUGCGAUUUUAUAACAUUUUAUCCUGUUUUGAACUUUUAGAGUUUGUACGUGGUGUUUUUGUCUUGAUACUGAUAAUUGACUGUAAUAAAAUGACUUGUACUUGGAAUUGGCUCCCCUGCUUCUUUGAAACAUCCCAAAUAUGUAUUUUCUAUAGAUGCUAUAACUGUGAAUGAGAUUGGUUGCCUUGAAAUCUUUGCUACUAGCUCUUGCUACUAGGCCCAUGUUUGCUUGUUUAAAUAAUUUUACCCCCACCUUUCUGAAAAAAUGCCAGAAACAUUUAGCAAUAUUUUAAAAAACUAAUAAAAGUAAUGAUAAUGGUGAUGAUGAUAAUACUAUAGUUAUGAAAAAUUCACACAGUCUAAAUGAACAGCUAAAAGCUAAACAUUUUAUCAUGAGGGAUCCACCCCUUGCUUGCUAGAUGGCACGGACUCUGCCUCCUGCCCCUCAGAGCCCACCAGUCUCCGCCCUUCUGGGCUUCAUCCCCAACUAGGCGGCAUGAGCCUCCUCUGGAGCAGCUGGGCUCCGUCUCCUCCUGGCAAGCCCAUCUGCAAGUGAGGACCUGCUUGAACUGCGUGAAGAAUUGCUGAGCUAUGAUGAUCAGCAUUCUGAACGAUUAAUAAGACUUGUUAAUAAUAACAGUAACAAUAAUAAUAGACUUUUUAGUGGCUUAUUAUCUGAGUGACUGACAACAUGUUUAAAAACAUUGAUAUAAAAACAUAGUACAGUACCGUAAGAACAAAACCAAUAACCAAUAACUAAAGCCACAGGAAGCUUUGACAACACACUAGUAAUGAAUAUGCAAUAACUUUAAAUACUUAGCAUUGUUAAUUUCUCAUUUGAAAAGAGCCUUUAACAGCAUCUCCUUGUUUUCCCUGAAUGCCACCUUUUCCACUCUUCCACAUAGAAGAGGCAGGUCUUUGCAGCAGACUAGCCAAGAUGGGCACUGACGAGGAUGGAGACUGGCUCAGUUAUCUCAGUUCUUUUCAGUGCGAUUUACAAUAGCCAGGGAUACUGGUUUUUCUUCUCCACUGUACACACCAGGCUUGUAAACUGCUAUUGGCCUGGUCACCUGUAGCAAACACUGCCUUCAAAACACUAGGCCAGAAAAUUUGUAUGAACUAGAAAACAGUCCACACUUUUUGUCUUCUGUGGUGUCAACAUGCCACAAAUGACUAAUGAAGCUUGCCAAAAAAUGUUUACUAGUAACUUCUGCAUCCACCUACCAUCUUCUCAGUCAUUUCAUGCAUGUCAUUAAGCCAUGGCUUAUUCCCUAGACUUAUCAUGCCAUGGCUGAUUCCCUUAGACUGUCCACAAAAUAAAGCAGCAGGAGCUCAGCCCACCUGACUGUCUAUUCCACAUGCACACAUGUAAAUGAAUUUGGCGUAGGAAAAUCAUAUACAAGUAGCCCAUAGUACUCAAAUCUUUAUGCUGCUACACAGUGCUUUCCCCCCCUAAAAAUAUGUUUGGGGCGCUCUCAUUUUCCUACUCAUCAUGAAAUACUGCCCCUCAAUGAGGCCAAACUUAGAUUCACAAAAUGUUUAGGGGAAUGCGUCCCCCUGCAUCCCCCCAGGAAAAAAGCACUGCUGCUACAGAUUAACACAGCUACUGUCCUGGAGGUCCCUCCCUCGGGUGUAUUUUUCUGGGGCUUCGCAACACGACGGUGAUGCCUUACUGACAGGUUCCCCAAGGCUGAGUCUGUCUCAGAAGAUUCUGCUCUGGAAAUGUCUUGUUAUUUCCGUGUCUGCAAACUGGAAAGUUGGACCUAGCAUGUGGGAAAGAGCCAGGGUGGUGGAGUGUCAGACUAGACCUGGGGAGACCCAGGUUCAAAUCCUCGCCCAGCCAUGUAGCUUACGACGACCCUGGGCUAGUUGUUAUCUCCCUCAACCCAACCUAACUUAUAGGGUUAUUAUGAGGAUAAAAGGAGUGAGGGAUAACCUUGAGAUCUGUCAGUCUGCCCAAAUAGCACUUGUGCUGAAGAAUGGGAUAAAAAUCACUUUUAUAAAUUAAAUAAAUAAAAAUAGCAUGGAGCCCUAUGUUGGGCCAGUGGAUUUUAUUCUUCAUUCUUUUUCAUACAUUGGGUUGUCUUUAUAAUUCACCCUCCCUUUCUCCUCUCUAUUUGUUGUGUUUGAUGGGUGAUUCCAAAUCAGAUGGUUGUUUGCCCAUUUGUUGCAUUUGAUGGGAGCUGUUGGAAAAAUGACUGGUAACUGGCAAGAACUGCAGCUACAGCUGACAUCAACCUACUGCCAGGGUCUCCUGAUUUCCAGGAGUAUAUUAAAAAGAGGCCAAAAGGAGGAAUUAGAAUAAUAGAAACUGUAGAGUUGGAAAGGACCAGGAGGGUGAUCUAGUACAACCCCCUGCAAUGCAGGAAUCUUUCGCCCGCUGUGGGGCUCGAACCCACAACCCUGAGAUUAAGAGUCUCAUGCUCCACUGACUGAGCUAUCUCAGAGAAUUAUCCCUCAUCAAGGUGUGGUGCUGGUGGAGUACUACUUGCUUCCACACAAAACUUGGACAUUCCUUGCCCCAUGGUUUUGUUUGCAGGAAGCUCCGUUAUACAUACCUGGGAUAUCAAUACCUGCAUUACCUGUCCCAUGCACCCAGUUUGCAUGUAUCUGCAAGGCAAGCAGUGCUGGGCAUAGAGUAAACCAGGAAUUAAGUGAGCAUGUGGUGGUCCUGCACCAUAUCUUUUAAAAAUAAUAAUAAUAAUUUUUUGGGGGUUUUUACACAUAUUUCCCAGCAUAUCAUUCUUUUAAACAUCAUUUCAAAAUCUUUGGCUAUCACAGCCUAAGACUUCCUUCAACCUCAACUGAUGGUUUUCUAAAAUCUUUUCUAUUUAUGCAUUUUGUUACUAUGGUUAUUGCUGUAAAUUCAAAUCUUAAUACCUAUUCUUAAUUCUUUUCACAAUAAUUUAUAUAUUACUGCUUACAAAACUUCUUUUAACCCUACAAGCGAUGUCAAUCGGUUACAAUUGCUUUCCAGGUCCUGAACCAUAUCAUUCCAUAGAUGAAUUUCGUUCAGUGGCAAGUCCUGCUAGAACCAACACAGCCUUGUACAAGUCCAUUAAAAAUACUGGGUCCCAGAGCCACUGUCACUGCUAGAGAGUUACCCGCUGUCUUUUUGCACAAGACAUAGAUGCUUGUGUCGUGCUGCUGGCAGAGCUGGGCCUGUCGCAAACAACUUGCAGGCAUGUCGGCAGUGAUGACUAUUAUUAUGAUUAUGAUUAUUAUUACUACUGCUACAUUUAUCUGAUGCCCAUUGUUCUGUGGGCAACAAACAGAUUAAGAAACAAUUAAAAUCACAGUUCCAAUGAACCCAGUUAAUAACAGCACAAGAAGUUACUUAAAGCAACAGGCAACCCCAUCCAAUCAGUGACUAGCACAUCUUCAGCAAGCAUCUCAUCAUCUCAAAGGGCUAAGAAACUACAGUGAAAUGCAGAGGUAAAUAUGUUCAAAAUGCAAUAUUUUAAAUGGCCUGAGAAAAGUAAAAGGUCAAAAAGUGGCCCAGUUAAACACACCUGUGUAAACCCAUGACUGACAACCCAUUUAAGUAAGGUCCUCAGAGAGAGGCAUACUUUGAAGACAAAAUGUCUGUGCACGGGCAUUACCUGAAUCGUGCCACCACUUUCUCCUCUGUCAUCCGAGAGAGCAGAACAGGAAAUUAUCCUCCUCACCAGCAUUCUAGCAUUCCCUUUAACUUAGAAAAUAAUUUCCAAAAACAAACCAAACCAGUGGCCUUUGAAGGUCAUUAGGAAUGAAGAGCUUUCCCACACUUCUCCCCCGCCUCACUGUCUUUCCCCCUAGGAAUUUAAGAAGUUUGGAGGGCAGCGAUGUUCCUGCUAGCGUGACUCCUCACCAGGGAAAUAGGGGAAAUGUGCUGUUACCCAUUCUAGUGAUAAAAAAGGAGUCAGAGUGGGGGCUGAUGUUGAAGUGUGUCCUAAUUGGCCAAAUACUUACUAGGAUAGUCAUGCCACAUGUCCUGCUGAGAGGACAAACCUAUAUCAGGACUGGCUAUCACAGGGAUGCCCUAUUUGAAGGAGGCUACUAUUUGUGUAUAAAUUUUCUUUAUUGAAUUUUGAUGAGGCAGAAAAAAGAAAAAUACGUAAACAAACAGAAAUAGACUACUAUUUACACAAACACCAUUUAUCCCCCCCCCCCCCCGUGACAACCCAUCACCACUCUCCACCGCUUCCCUCCACCACACCUUGACUUCCAUAUAUUUUCAAUUUGGUACAAAACAUUGCAGUCUUUUGGCUUUUGUAUUUUAAUCUCUUUAUAACAUGACUUAUUAAUGAUUUCUACUUUACUCUUUUAAUCUAAACAUAUCAGCAUAUUCUUUUUUGAAUAGUGUUUAUCCAUAUAUUCUUUGAAGCAUUGCCAUUCUUGUCUAAGUUUUUGAUUUGACUGCAUUCUUACGUAUGCUGUUAGCUUUGCCAUUUCCAUAAAUUCACUUAAUUUAUGUAGCCAGUUGUCUUUUGUAGGCAUUGUCUCGUUCUUCCAUUUGCUGGCAAACACGAUCCUGGCAGUUGCUGCAGCGUAUAGGAAAAUUCCUUUCUUUUUCUGGGGUAUAUUUUUCCCCAGUAGACCUAACAGAAGUGCCUCUGGUUUUAGCAUUUUUUAAAGUUCUUCGUGAAUUGUACCCCAAUAUACCUUAGAUUUUCGCAAGUCCACCAGGCAUGGAAAAAUGUUUUGAAGGAGGCCACUAUUUGAAAGGCAGACAGUCCAGGACCAAGUCUGGUUUAAAGAUCAAAUAGGGAGAGAGCAGAGGCCUUUGAGUUGCCCAUCAACAGUGAGCAGCACCUGGGCAGCAGAUGGAGGAAGCACAGAGGUCACUGGGUCUUAGUUUUCUCUGCUAUGAUGAGAUGUAAUGUACUGCUAUUUAAAUUAUAGCAAUUACAGUAUUUCUAAAUUUGCAUGUAUACAUAUAAAUUAGCAUGUGCACAUUUUUAUGCAAAUUGUCAAGUGCUUUUGUCCCCUUUUUUUGGUGAUGUGGAAGCAGCCACCCUAGGAGAUACGUGGAUUAUUUGUGCAUAAGAUUCUCCAAACAUCUUCCACUCUUUUUUUCCAGUGCAUGUUGGUGUGGAAUGGUCUUUGUGACUAUCAAACUAUAUGAGAGAACACCAUGUUUUGGGGAGGGUUAGGGGAGAAAUUUGUUUGCUUUUUUAAAAGAAAGACCCACCAAAUUCACACUUCUUAAACUAAUACGUAAACACAGCUAUCUUUCAAAAUUUGCAUUUUGUAUAUGGUGUCCUAGGAAGAUCAUUAUAAAAACCUUAGAAGGCAAUUGGAGACAAAAUGCUCAUUGUUUAAUGAACACUUCUUAAUUAUGUUGAGGUGGUUAUGAAGAUCGCUAUACCAUUGAAUUAUCACCAUGUUGCCUGAAAAUUGAGCAAUUGCUGGGUGGAUGAAGCAGGACAUGGGAUCAUGACAAUUUUCUUAAUUUGCAGCCUAAGCACUUACCCUUCAAAUUUGGUCAUCUUGCAUUUUGAAUGUUGUGGAAUGAGACUUCAGUGUUUUGUUGAACUGUUGAAAUUUCUGUAUUUAAUUAAUGGAGAUUUUUGUGGUUCAUGAGUAGGAAAGAGAUGAAGGAUGGCUAUUGGCAGACUUAGAGUAUUCCCAGGAAACUUGUUGUUGCUCCUUUAGCCAGUGUUGUGUCUGGCAUAAAAGCUGCUGAGUUGGGAUGGCUGAGGGGAGCCCAGGGUGAUAAAAUACCUUCCGCCAACCCUGUAUUACCUUUGGACUAGCUGAUUUGUGCAUGCAACCUUUCUGUGUAACAAGAAACUAACAAGUUCAAUUGUUAGUCAAUUAAUUAUUACUGAAAUUUGUAUCAGGAAGCCCUAAAAAUAUCUUGUGCAAGCCACACCCAGCAGUCCACCCAGCUGAGUAAAAACUUUGUUUUAAAGAAAAUUGCCCCCCCCCAAAAAAAACCCUAUCACUGAACACUCAACUCAACAGUUCAGCAUGACAGGUGCAAACUUAUGUGCAAUCCAUCCUUUGUCAACUCUUUCUAUUGAAAAUGUUUAAGCAGGGUUCAUCUGUCAACACCUAAUCAUUAUGUGUGGGGUAAAUAGGGCAUUCUUAUAGCUGAAUUUUCAUUAUUGCAAAAGUAAUGUGUGUUACUCCUUAUUCAGUAAGCAAAAUCAUUUGGAGCCGGCUGCACCUCUUCUGGCUCUUGAAUAAUGGCUUUGGUUGCCCAGAGAAUAGUCUAAAGGCACAUGAUUCAGUUCUGCUGCUGAAGCUAAUUAAGCCUGGCCCUGGCAAGGAGAAGGCAAUCUGAGCUCCUUGGAGGAGGAGCAGUGUUCAGAGGUAAGGCGCAGGUGCAAGAGGCAGGUAGCCCAGUGAAGUGGGCAGCGAUAGGCAGCUUUUUCACUGCUCAGCUCCACAUUCAAAAUGCACCAUGAGCCAGAGGGCUGAAGCUAAUCUGCAAAUUUUAGUGGCAUGUUAUUAACAUAAUUGGUUUAAAUUAUACAAUAUAACAGAUGCCAAACUACAAUUAACUGGUAUGGUGUACUUAACCCAUAAUAGGUUUAUUCUAUAGCUUUCUAUUAUUAUUUUUUAAUAAUUCUUUAAAAAUUAAAGUUUCAUGGCUGGUGUAGGAGCCAAGAUGGAGGAUCAGGACAUAUUAGCACCCCGGGAGGAAAAAACAAAUUGCACCGCUCCUCCCUUUUGUGUUAAAACAACACAAAACUCAGGGACAAACAACUGAUGAUUCACUAAGCUGUGAAAGAACCUCAGUGCAGUCAUACCUUGGUUGUCGAGCGCCCUGGAACUCGGACAUUUUGGCUCCCGAAUGUGGCAAACCCAGAAGUGAUUGUCCCGGUUUGUGAACGUUCUUUUGGAACCCAAACGUCCGGCGGGGCUUCAGCAGCUACUGAUUGGCUGCAGGAGCUUCCAGCAGCCAAUCAGAAGCUGUGAUUUGGUUUUUGAAUGUUUUGGAAGUCGAACGGACUUCUGGAACAGAUUCUGUUUGACUUCCAAGGUACAACUGUACCUGCCACUACAGUCUACCAAACAGUAGGGCCACCUGUGUGGAGAGGUGAAAAUUUACAGGCCUAACAACUGCACACCAACAUUUUGAAUAACCAGCUACUGCUCCAUGCCUGUGCAACUGAGUUGCUGCUUCUUUCCUUAACAUGCUGUGGCACCAUAGGGUUGCCAUAUUUCCAGAGGUAAAAAUCUGGACCGAAAAAGUUUCCUCUCCACCCCCCCGGCCACUUCCAAGCCUGAGCCACCUGCACCAGAGCCUGAAACAGCCCGUGCUGCCCACACCCGUGCCAGAGCCCACACCAGAACUUGAGCUGCCCGCUCACACAUAUUUUUUUAACCCCCUCCCCCAACCCAGACCUUUGCUUAACAUUGUAAAAAUCCCACCGGAUGGGUAUGUAGCCCCCCCCAAAAGAGAACAUGUCCAGGAUUUCCCAGACGUAUGGCAACCGUAUAAUGUUGCCUUGCCACAGUGCUGCUCCUGCUGCUGCUCAAAUACCUGGUUCUGAAGAAGGACUUCCUCACUCACAUUGGCCAGGUGGGCUAGCAGGUGAGUGGGCCAGUGGGCCCAGAGGGUACUGAUUUGCUGCCCUCCUGCUGCCUGUGGCAAUUAAUUGCCUUAGUUUUCCUGGUGGAAUUGUUGGCCCUGCUCAGAUACAGAAAGCACUUGUGACAUCCACAGGUGAUUUUCCCCAUAAGUUGUUCCAACUGUACUAAAGGCAGUAACUGAAUAAUGAGAGGAAAUGUAUAAGGGGACAUUAAUCAAAACCAGGAGCCUCAUCCUUAAUAUCAACAAAUGUUAUCCAGAUCAUGGACCACUUUGUAGCCUUCUAUAAACAGUGGGUAAGGGGACUGUCACAAAUGGUGGUGGGCAGGCUCCCUUCUAAUUUGUACUAGAUAAAACAGCCUUGUAUGUAAAUAUUUGUCUGCUAGCCAUGGGCAAGAAGGAAUUGCAUGCACUGUAGUGAAUGGGUUGGCUAUCUUGAGGAUGAAGCGCUCUAUCCCUCCUCUGAACCUAGCAUAUCCACCUUGACAGAGCAGUAAAACUUUUCAUGUUUGUGGCAGGCUAGUAACUUUAUUAUUCUUAUUCUUAUGUUACAAAGCAAACAGAUAAACAGGGAACGGUACAUCUAUUGUCUCCAUUUUCAAUUCAUAGUGUUUUUCACAGUUCAUUUAUGUUUGGUGAGAGACACUUUUGUCAUACAUAUCAUUCAGUUGGGGGAAGGGGAACAGCGAGAGAUAGGGAUAUUGUUCUUUCAUUCUAUUGCCUAUUCUUAAUGUAGGGGGUUUGUGUCAGCAUCACAUGGGUAGGUCCUUUGUGUAUUUAUUUAUUUUUAUUGAUAUUGCGAGAGGUUAGGGGUUCCCAAGCUUGGUUGGUUGUAUUUAGUUGAUUGCAGCGUGGCUUAUUUGUGUGAGGGAGGCAGGCUAGGUUGCUGGGUCAGGUUAGCCAUAUUGAUUUGUAUGCUGUUGGGGGAGAUAGGUCCUUGUCCUGUUGUGCUGCGUAUGUACUAAAGGGGAACCACACUGGGGUGAAGGCAUCCUCUGUAGCCUAUCCCCGUGCUAGUUUGAGUUUCUUAGUUAACUUUUCUAGAAGGGUGGUUUCCCAUACCUUUUGGUACCAGUGGUCUAGGUUCACUCCUGAUAGGUCCUUCCAGUGUCUAGUUAUUAUUUUUCUAGCUGAAAGCUGAAAGUAAGUGACUUAGUGUGCAUGUGUGUUGUUGUCCUGGAAGAUAUUUAAUAGGGCAAGUUCUGCAGUUGCUUCUAUUACCUGUUUUGUUAUUUUGAAAAUUUUCUGCAGCACUGAUAUCCAGAAGGAUUGGAUUUUGGGGUAUUCCCACCACAUGUGGAGGUAUGGGCCUAUUGCAGUGCAGCCUCUCCGGCAUUUAGAUGAAGUUCCUGGGUGUAUCUGUGCUAGCUUCCAAGGUGCUAGGUAUCAUCUAUAUAUAAGUUUUAGGGUGAGUUCUCUUCUUUUGGCCGAGGUGGACUUGAAUUGUGGUUUAUACCAUAGACAGACCACUGGGUUUGGUUUAAUUCAUUCCAAAGAGUUGUAUCUGGAGGCAGCAAUUGAGUAUUUAGGCUCAAAUUCAAUAUACUUCAGCAACUGGUACCCAAAUAGGGGAAAUAGGCCCAGUUCAUUGCAAACAGGUAAAACUGUAGGAUAUAAUGUUUAGAGCUAUCAACAAACUAAUUUUAAUAUAUUAAUAAAUUUCCACUAAACUAAUUAAUUUUAUUUACAUAUUACUGAACUUCUAGUGGAAGUAAUGUGAAACAACUUGAACUUCAAAAGAAAAAAAGCAACCUUUCUUUUUGGAAGGGACCACCUUUCAAUGUUUUCUUUUUUCAUUUUCCCUAUUAAAACACUGCACCGCAACCACAAUAGACUGAAAAAAUAUUUUUAAUAAAUUGUAAGGAAAAAAUAAAUAUGUAUUUCAUGGCUCUCAGCCUCACAGAUUAAAAAUGUUGUACAUUGACCAAUGAACUAAAUAUUGAUAUAAGAACAUAUCUGUUGGAUCAAGCCAAUGGUCUAUUUAAUCCAGCAUCUUCUUUCACUCUAUGGUCAUCUAGAUCAGUGUUUCCCAACCUUUUUUCGACCAUGGCCCAUUUCCAACCUUGUUUCCUUCCUGUGCCCCCCCAUAAGCAUAGCCAAGGGGGGGCCAGGGGGGCAGCUGCCACUCAAUAAGUAAAAAUCAAUACAAAACUGAGGCUUUGCCCCCGGAAUAAAAGUCUGCCCCCCUAACAAAAAUCCUGGCUAUGCUCCUGCCCUCCCCCAUCCUACCAGUAGAAAAGUACCUUUUUAAAUGUUUUGUUUGUAAAUACAAUUACAUAAAAUGAUAGGACCAUAAUUACAUAUCGCUGAAGCAGAAAAACAUAGAAUCAUGGAACUGCAAGGGACCCCAGGGGUCAUCUAGUCCAACCCCCUGCAAUGUAGAAAUCUUAGCUAAAGCAUCCAUAACUGGUGGCCAUCCAAGCUCUGCUUAGAAACCCCUAAGGAUGGAGAGUCCAGAACCUCCUGAGGGAGAUUCAUCUUCCAUGUAUUAUAAAAAGUAAACAACACUUACUUGACCCCAGUUAUUUGAAUACAGAGGAGGAAAUCUACAGAUACAGUCCAAAAGGUGCACAGGGAGAAUUUUAAAAAGCAAGUGGUCCUCACUGACCUGGUGCCAGGGGUGUAGGAAGGGGGGACGGGGGCAGACUGCCCCAGGUGCCAUCUCUGAGGGGGGUGACAAAAAGGGAGGAUCACCCCACAGCCGCGCGUGUGAGCAGAAGAUCGAGCCGCCUUCGCUGCAGCCGCAGACGAUCACCCCCCCCCCCCGGUGCACUUCAUGGCUGACUCUCCGAGUGCCCAUGCAGCUUACUCCGCCACUGCCUGGUGCAAAAAGAUAAAACAUUAUAGCCCAGAGGUUUUGAACCUUUUUGAGUCCAUGGCUCCCUUGACCAAUUACAGUCUUUUUGUGGCUCCCCUGUGGGGCUCAGGAGCCCAGUUAUGUCCCUUGCUGGCAGCCCCUCAGCCCUUUUUGAACACUGUCCCUUGUGGAGUGUUCCCUCAGCCUCCUCUCCUCUCCUCUCCCCUCUCCUUGGCAGUCCUUUGGGAGUCCUCCAGGCAGCAGCUGCAGUCACCCCGGUCUGUGAGCUGCCCCCAGAGAGAGAUGCCUCCUUACACUGCCCCACAGAGGCCUGUGAAGAGGAUGCCCCCAGCCCUAGUGGCCCAAUGGAGACUGACCAAAUGUGAGGCCAGCACCUUACUUUGGGCACUGCCAGGCCUGCGUGGCAAAACGGCUCCCCUUCAGCACCAAACACUCAUCUCCCAGGCAGGCAUUGCACACAGCAAGCACAAGAAAUGCCAGUGCGCUGCCAGCCUGGCCUCCCACUUGUCUGUCCAUCCCCAACAGCAAGGGCUGGUGGACUGGCUGGGCUCCCUCGCCCACUUGCCUGCUUACUCCGAGGCUGCCUCUGCUCCUGGCAACCGGCACCCGCUGGCCAGCCCGAGGCAUCAUUUGUAGCCAGGGCUGCUGCAGCAAACCGCUACACAAGCACCCUGGUUGAAAACCACUGCUAUAGCCUCGCACACCCUUACCUGGGAGUAAGCCCCACUGAUCUCAGUGAAGCUUUCUUCUGAGUAGACAGUUGUUUACUAGAUGCAAGUCAGCAGCACCAGACGACCCUGCUUGGCUAGGCGCUGGGGUGUAUUUAACCCCGUGCCUUGCAGAGUCAGACCCAGGCUGCCAACGGGUCCAGCCCUGGUGACAGCAACAAGCAGGUCUGGCUCACCCAGCCCUACCCAUUGCCACCCCACCACCACACUUACCUGACCUGGGGGUUCUGGAUCGCGGGCUGUACGGGUCAAAAUGGGAGCCUCAGCAAUCACCCUCUCCCGCUGGAAACAAACCAGGACUGCUCCAAAAAAAUGCAAUUCACUUCUCACUUCCCUCUGUGGCCCCCUACCCUCGUGCUGUGGCCCCCCAUUUACGCGAUUUUCACCUGGGGCCUCCUUGGAAUAUCCUGGAGGCCCCCAGUUGGGAAACACUGAUCUAGAUGCCUCCAAUAAGAUCACAAGUGAGGCACAGAGGCAAUAACUCUCUUGGGUUGAUUAAAGUAUCGAUUAAACUACUUAAAUCUUGCAGGACCUAAAAUGAAACAUUGUUGGUGAGACCUUGUAAAUGUGUGUUAAUAUGCUCCUGUUGCUUUACUCCUGUUUAGUGGUAGCGGGGGGGAAGGGGGGAGGACCAGCAGGUGAAUUUGAAGCAGACUGAUUUAUUAAUCCCACACAUAUUUUUACAUGCACACACACACACACAUUCCAUACAGCAUACAAAUUCCUACAGUCACUUUAUAGGGGAAAUGUGUACGGUUUUGUGGCAAGUGCCAAAGCAAACAUACCAACAGUCCAGGGCAAUCUCCUCCCGAACUGUGGCCCCAGGACCACCUAUCAAGGCAAUGGCUGCCUUUCCUGGUUCCAGGAAAUGCUUGGCUUGCUGGUUAGAAAUAAGGCUUCAGAUUCCCAUAAUAUCAAUGUGGCCAGAAAAGAGCCCAGAAUAGAGCAGGCAGGUGGUACGUUUUCCACAUUUGUCCCUUUCAGUCCUGGGCAUCUAAAGCACCACUUAUUCCAGAUGUGGCAUUGUUCUUCAGCAUGCCCGCUGGCAGGGAUCUAAAUCACUGCACUUGGUCUUGUCCUAACUCCAUUCAUUUUGGUCACAAUCUCCUUUCCAACUUCUAUUGAACUUGGGGUGGGGGGAUCCCUGCAGGCUGUUUUGCAUUCACACUUUCCCAAAUCAAUGUAUACACAUAUUUCAGCUCUUGCUGAGGGCACAGUACAUUAAGCAAGGGAAAUGAUGCUUCUUCUCACAGUCCAACUUCAGAAUGAGGAUUUGCAAUUGGUUCUGUUGAGAGGCAUCAUGGAUACGUGGCAAUUUGUGCGGGAGCAGUAAUUUCUACCAGCAAGCAAGCAAGCAUUUUGCAGUUCAGUAGCUGCUAACAUUUUGAGAGCCAUUGUGCAAUCCUAGUGGACAUGUUUAUUCAAUGGAAGCUGAUCCAGUAGGGCAAAUGGGGCACUGCCCCACCAACUUUCCUCUGCCCUUAGCCAGCCCCGAUCUGCCUGCCUUCUUACUGACAAACAUUCCAGGGGGUGGCACUGGUUAUCAGCUUCCUCUUCCUCAGUCUCAGGGUUUGUCUUUGUAGAAUUCAGUAGGGAGGAGAAUGGGGACAAAACUGGAAUUGGUUGGCUCCACCUGUCAUUGGCUGUGGCCCCACAUACUGUUGCCCUUCCUGCACUCUGCCCCAUGAGUCCCAGUGGGCAAAAGCCACCAGUGGGAAACUUGCUAACUAGUAAGUAUGUUUAGGAUUGCAGCCCCAGUCCCCAAAUGAAAUUGAGAGCAUUAUGCCAGCCAAAUAUCUCAUUGAUUUUUAACUUUGUCAUCUAUAUCCUGUCUUUCUUCCAAUGAGUUUGAGGUGACAUGCACCUACUAAUGUCCUCCCUAUUUUAUCAUCACAGCAACUGAGGUUGAGAAACAGUGACUGGUCCAAGGUCAACAAGCGAGUUUCAUGUCUGAGUGGGAAUUUGACCCCUAGUCUCCUUGGUCUUUGUCUGAUAUUCUACCCAUAAUACUACAGAAUCAGCUGACCUAAUAAGCUGCAGCAUUAAGCACCGACUGGGUUCCUGCCAGGAAUCUGCAUCCAUCCAUUUUGAGAACAGAUACUGUGAACAAGGUGAAUUGUGAUGAUGCCAGCUCUGUCUUUUGAGUGGUUUGCCUGAAUCAUGUUCAAAGCAGGAUUCGGGGUAUCUCAGUUAGGCUCCUAUACGGGAGUGAGAAACCUCCCAAUAUGGGGAGGAUGCAGGAAGAUAAUGGGAGUGUUCUGUGCCCCUCACCGGUGCUUUCAUCUUGCUUUUAAAACCGGUACUAAUUAGCAGUUGGUAUUUAAGAGGGUGCAGCAGAUUGGGUGUGGGAGUGAGGACUGGGGAGCCUAGAUGCUUGCCGUCCCUUUUCCCAUGUCCGCAGCCCCUGGUGGUAUGGCCGCAGGACCACCUUGAAUCCAGUGCUGCCGUCCAGACCAGCUCAGGGAAUCCUGGCCUUUUCAAAGCCCAUGAACCUGAAACAAUGGGCUUUGAGGCAGCUGUCUGGGAUGGGGGAUUAGCAACAUCAGGGGAGCAGGGACUGAAUGAGGGUGGUGGGCCAGACAGAAGGGGUUGGGCACACAUGGAGGUGAGCAAAGGGGAUUCUUUCCUGUCAUGGUGGGGGAACACAAAACCUUCAUUCAGGUCAGAGGGAGACCCAGCCUGGCUCACACAUGGAGUGUGGAAUUUGGUCUGUUUAGGAGAGCGGAGAGCUGAGAGCUGGGAACUACACACACACACACACACACACAGAGAGAGAGAGAGAGAGAGAGAGAGAGAGAGAGAGAAAUUUUAUUUUCCUAAUUGUGAGAAUCAGAGAUGUUGAGAGUUACAGUAUUUGGAAAUGAGGCCUUGUCCCUUGCUAGGCCCAGAGUAAUGUGAAGGGGAUACUGCAAAACGGGAACUUAGGGCCUCCUUCCUCAAAAGAAGGCCACUUUCACAGGAUACCAGAAGGCAAGAAUAGGGAGUUGUAAUUGUUGUGCAAAGUUGUGUGUUCACAUGACCAUUUUUUCCACUGUGGCAAUGUUUUACAGCCAUCUCCACUGGAAAAGCUUUCCUUAUGGAAUUGGACCAUGCAGGCUCUUACAUUUGUUCUUGAGGCGUCUUGUAUAUUUCAUCAGAUUCAGCUGCUCACAAAUGCUGGUCUGAUCUGGAAACCAAAGCUUGGCACUAACAGCCAUGUCAGAUGUUGCGUCCAAGUACAUGCACCCCAGCUUGAGAGGUACCUCAAGCAGAGAGAACAACUGUCUGGUUGGUAAGUCAGGAUUGCAGUGAGGGUGAAAGGGUUAAUCCCCCUCCCUCCCCCAGUUGCUGUGGUCCCUAUCAUGCUAAGCCAAGGUGGCUAUUCGAGUUUUUUAAAACUUGCAAGUUAAAUGCAAUAACACAUCAAACUCACAUCUAGUUUGGCCCUGUCAGUAAUGACUUUGCAUCAGAUCUUAGAACUGUAGAGUUGGAAGGGACUCUGAGAGUCAUCUAGCCCAACCCCCUGCGAUGCAAGAAUCUCAACUAGAUAAGAUUCCUCUAUCUUGGAGCUUUAUAGCAGACAGUGCUAUAGGACUGGCUCCUUAUGAUCACCUGGUUCCUAAAAUCCUAGGCUUCGGGCCCACUGUUGGCUUGACUACCGGCAGAGUGUAAUUGUGUUGGGUUUACAUUGCUCUUCCCCUUGCUAGUUGUUAUCAUGGCCAAGACCGGUCUGUCCCAGAAUUUGAAAGAACUGCAGAUUCAGGCUCCCAGCACACACACAAUACAUGCAGGUAUAUGAGUUAAUCAUGACUGAGAUCACCCAGAGCUCAUCCCAGUUUAGGUAACUGCAGUGUUAAUUAAGCUGGGACUACUGGGAUUUAUCCUCACCCUUCCAACAGGGUACUGUGCUUAUAUAUUUAUCUGUCAAAUUUAUGUCCCACACCCUCCCCACAAAGAAGCCCAGGGUGGCAAACAUUCCUGUAAUAAAAAUGCAAUUAAAAGUAAGAUAUAAAUGUAUUUAAAACAUAUUAAAACUGCUAAAAACAGCUAAAAGCAGUGUAACACAAUAAAAAUGUUGAGAUUUGCAUAAUGGGGUGAGGCCAGCUGGUCUACCAGCAGGGGUUGGGCGUUUUGCCUGCACGAAGGCCAUGCCCUGGGAGUGCCAUGCUGGCAGGCUUGGGAAGCGGGCUUGCCCCAUGGCCUAGGGCCGCUGUUCUACAGGGAGUAGUUGGCUAGGACACCAGGCUCCAUAGGGUGUUGGGCAGAGCUAUGUGCUGCGCUUGGCGAAUUCAUGCUGGUCUUGGGAAUAAGCAGCUUUGAAGAAUGGAGACUGAGGUCCUCAUGGUUCAAAAAAACUUUCUAGAGCUGCCUGUCAUCCCCCAUCCCUUUCUGGAGAUCAGGAAGGGCCAUGUCUCCAUGACGGGCUGACAGCAGUUUAUGGCUCUGCUAGGCUCCCAUCUCACCCUGGUGCUAACCAGUAGGUUCCCAUUUGAUGGCUGUGAAAGAGCAGGCGAGCUCUUACCUAUGAUAGAUAAAUAGACCCGACCCCCCCCCCCCCCAAGUUCUAAUUCCAAGGAGCACACUCAGGAGCCAAGAAUGAUUGAUAGAUAACUGCUUGAAAUGUCCAAAUGAAUUUGUACCUGAAAGGAUUGUGCUGCCAAUUUAACAGGAGCCGGCAAUUAAAAAACAAAACGAAACAUACUAUGGGAUGACAGCAAAGGAAAACAUGAGAGGGCACGUCCAGACUGCCAGUAUUUUGCAGGAGGGAUUCAAGUACAUUCUGGGACGUUAGGUUUGCACAACUGAAGUGGGUUAAAGUGCUCUGACACCCCAGCAUAACCAAUUCAAAGAAAGAAAGAAAACAAACAAACAAACAAACAAACAGACUAAGUGACAGGGGAUAAAACAAAUUCUUAAUGGGAAGAUGUUUAAACCCCCUGCAAGCAAAUCCAGGUGAAUUCAGAAAGAAUGCUCAUUAUUGUACAACCUCCCCACAAAUCAGAAUGAAUGCUCACCGAAGACCAAAUAUAAUCUAACAUCUGCCUAAGCUUUGUGCAAGGAAAUCAGGAUGAAUGCUCAAUAAGUAGGUUGUCUGAAGGAGUCCAGAUUGCAGUGGUUUUGGAGGAAUGUCUUCUAGAUUGUCAGGAAUCGAUGAAAGGGUAUAUGCCAGCGGAAGAAAGCUAGUGUGAAAUGGUCCACUGUUAUUGAAUCCUUUAGCUAUCCUUUCCUAUCCACCCCUGUAGUAAUCUCAUGUUAGAAUUCAUGCUGCAAUCCAGGACCAGGUCACCUGCUUUCUUUUGCUGUUAACUCUUCACAGGUUAGCUUUUCUCCAUCAUUUUUGGUGGUGGAAAGCUUUGACAGACACCUAUGGCGACCACAAGUCUCCAGGCCUUGGCCCUUUCAAGUUUCCAGUCAUUUUCCAGGUUCUAAUGAAGGUGGUCUUUUCAGUUCAUGCUAAAGGCCUUAUUGCCACACCAAAGUAAAUAGCAGGCGAAACUCAACGCAAAUUUGUGCUCAAGAAGAAAAGGUGGUAUGAGUACUUUCUCAGGCUCCAACCCUGUAAAGUUUAGCUGCUGCAAAGGCAACAUGUUACCCGUCCCAGAACACCUUCUACAAUUUGUAUCGAGUCCAUCCAGACCUUAGCUAGCUUUGUUCAUCCACAGCCUUACAGGGCCUGAAUUUGAGAGUCUCUGAAAUCAAAUGUAUCCAGUUAGUUAACCAAAUGGCUUUGCUGCUAUGAAUUUAUACUUUUUUAGUUUUAAAUGACUAAGAAAAAAUUUAUAAGCAAUAAUGUGCACAUUGUAUUUUAUUGUCGACAUUAAGGAUGUGAAUUCAGCUUUCAAACAUGAGGCUUAAAACUGCUUCUCCCAAAAAUUGGUUUGUAAUGUGAAUAUCACACCUACUUUGUCAGAAUGCUCCUUUGCAACACAGGGGCCUCUUGUCCACCAGAUAUUAUCAGAGAGGAGCUCAAAGUGAAUUUAAACUUGACAUGUGAGAGGAGCAAGGGACCUGUGGUCCUCCAGAUAUUGUUGGACUAAAACUCCCACCGGAAGGUGGUUUUUAAUGGUCCACUUUGACGCUGAGGCUGCAGCAGGGACUGCCUCAAGGAAAGGCACAUUUCCCCCUUAUCCACAGCAUACUGUCAUCUUAUUGUAAGAAGCUAGACCUCUGAACCGCGCAAUCUGUACUGGUUCAUCAUUGCCAGUUCCCUCUGCCAUGGAACCAAUGUUGCCUGAAGUAUACUGCUUUUCAGAGUAACAUAAAAUAUCAGAGAACACAGACAUUUCCCCACUUGUGCACAGCCAGCAUACGCGCUCCUGCUGACACAAAUGCCAAAAACAGUGCCAAAAGGAGGCAGGGUCAGAACAGGGUGGAGGAAUAUCCACUUGGGCGUGUUCCUUGAACAACCGCCCCCCUCCGUAAGUGGGGAUUCCUCUGUAUCUCCCCACUCCCUCCCCUCCUCUGGACUCCUGCUCUCAAAUCCACUUGAUCCACAACUUUUUCCUUCCCAAACACACCAGCUCAACUUUCCCUGACAAUCUGUUUCAACGAUGGACAACUCCCACCUUGCCCUAGUCCAUUCGCAUUUAUGAGUUGGAAGAGGCUGGAGGACCUUUCUAGAGUGCUGGACUAGGACCUGGGAGGCACUGGCGGAGGAACAGGGGUGUGGGGGGAGCGCACUGCCCCUGAUGGCAUGAUCCCAGUGGAGUGCCAUCGCGGCUCCCCCCUUGCGCUGGGUGCCACGCCCCUGCAGGCGGUGCGCCAUACCCCCAGGACACGCACCACGCCCCCAGGACACAUGCCAGCCAUGCCCCUGCCUGCUCUCCGCCACCCCCACUGGAGCUUGAAGCUCCGCCACUGCUGGGAGGCCAGGGUUCAAAUCUGUGCUCAGCUAUGAAACUCACUGAUUCCCUUGGGCCAGUCAUGGUCUCUCAACCUAACCUACCUCUCAGAAUUGUUGUGAGGAUAAAAUAGGGAGGAAGAAGUGGGACAGGUCAGUUGGUAGAGCAUGAGACUCUUUAAUCGCAGGGUCGUGGGUUCAAGCCCCACGUUGGGCGAAAGAUUCCUGCCCUGCAGGGGGUAGGACUAGAUGAUACUCGUGGUCCCUUCCAGCUCUACAGUUCUGUUAUUCUAAGAGAACCCCGAAUGACUCCUUGAAGGAAAGGUGGGAUAUAAAUGCAAUGAAUGAAUGAAUGAAUGAAUACAAAUCAUAAACAAAUAGGUUUCUCUAACCUAGUAAUCAAUAAAUCUGUUUGCCCAUAUAAACAUCCACCCAAUUAUCCCAACUUCUUGUACACAAAUAUCUAUUUGUAUCUGUCCUCAUACACAUGCAGCCUGGAUUAACCCUGUUCUCAUUACUGGAAGAAGUCUUGUGCUUGUCUGCUCACACACAGAUACAAGCUGGGGACUAGUGGUGGUGGGAUGGUGGAUUUUGCCACACACAGUUCUGAGCUGCCUUUUUAUCAAGCCUGGGAUCUCAGCGGCACUUGCUAAUCCAGCCAUUACAUCACAUUCCUUCUGUGUGUGUGUGUGUGUGUGUGUGUGUGUGUGUGUGCAGGCACAUGCAGUUAACCCUACAGAGGCUAAAUUGGCCUAGGUUAAGGAUGGUGCUAAUCAUGUUCCGGAAACAGAACGGACCUUCCCACUCCUAAUAUUGCUAUCCCUGGCCCUGGGUUUUUCUUACUGCUCUCUCUUUUCUCUCUGAUUUGUUUUACCUGUGUAGUUUCUUUUUUACAUUCCAGAGGCUAAUAGUUAUUUAAAUUCAAAUGGAAUGAUGUAGGCAAAUGAGUGACUGCAUCCCACCCACUAUUUGCCCCUAAUUAUGUUGGAUGAGGGGAAAUAUUGCAUAUGCUCUACACCCAAAAACGAAUAUGAAGGAUUAAGCAGCAGUGAGGAAGCUAAAGUUCAAGCUAUUCUGCCUCUCUUUCAAAUUUAUUUCUGGGCAAACAUUAAGGGCCCAGGUAGCAUUAGUAAUUAUACAUAUUUUUGAAGAGAUUUAUUUCGGUACCACCAACAUUAAGGGGGGAAAUGCCAUGGUGAUGAACAGCAUAAAACCAACAAUAAAAAGACAUUCAUUAAAACAAGUAGAAGAUGCAUUUGUUCCCUGCUCUUACCUGCUGCCUUGCAGGACAUCUUCAGGAAAGGAAAAGGCUAAGGCGUAAACCCUACACAAAUCCCGAGUGGAGUGCCUAAGAUGGUUGGGUGGCGCUUUGUCUGCCUCCUUCCGGCAACUCCUGCAGCCAAGCUGGAGCCAACUGCGUUGCUCUGCUUUCCUUUGGAGGUGGAGAGUGGGGGGUCUUGUCGUCUGGGCAACCUAGGACCUUCAUACACACUGCCUAGGCUUGCACCCUGGGGAGGUCACUUUGGUGCAGCAAAUGCAGCAAAAACAACGCGGGAGGCAGCAGUUAUAAGUUAUAAGCUCAAGCUGAUUAGUGUAAGGUAUGCUACAGCCACAGCAGGUGCUGUGACUCUCCAAUGGUUUGAUUUCACCCCCAAAUGCGCACUCCUCCAUUAUCUCACAAGACAGAUGGAUGCCAACAAUGUGACCCCCCCUUCAGCACUCCCACUCCCCACGACAGCUUACCCUCAUAUACAACAGUCAUUAACACGAUAACACCAAUACGCAGUUCAAAAGGAAAUUUAAAAACAUAAUGUGACACCAAUUAUUAAGAAAGAGAAAUAAAACAUUUAAACAGAGUUCAAAAUGGUUCAAUUAAAUUAAUUAAUUAGCUUUGCCGAGGCUUUUUAAUUUAAAAGCCUUGGUAAAUAAGAAGAUUGUUGCCUGGCACCAAAAAGCCAUCAGAUUAAGCAGGCCUUCCAGGAGAGAGAAUUCCAGAAGGGCAGAGAGGUGCCACAACUGUGAAGUCGCCCGCUCUCUGGUCACCAUAUACAGUCAGAAUCAAAAUUUUUCAAGCCCCAUUGCAAACCAGAUUUAUUAUCAAAAUUUACAGACUUCCAGCUGUUUGCAAUGAGCAAAUCAAACAAAAGCAAUUUAAAUACUUUAACACAACGCUUGUUUCAAGUGCUUCCCCCAAAUUCAGCUGAAAUUGCAACUUACACUGGCUUCUCCAGUCUCACUAUUCUCACCAUUAUUCAACCCCCUCAACAGAAUCCCUCACAACAGCACAAAUACACCAGGUGUUGUCUCAAGCACACCUGAUGCAAUUAAUCAAGAUUUGAUGGCGGCAGACACUGAGAUUUCAGUGAGCACAGAAAGACACGUUGUAAACACAGAAAGUUUCUAUGCCAGAACUCCAAGAUGUACAUCUUUACUGGAGAAGCCAGUAUAAGUUGCAUUUUCAGCUGAAUUUGGGGAAACCACUUGAAGCAUCUGUUGUGUUGAGCUAUUUCAAUUGCUUUUGUUUGAUUUGCUCAUUGCAAACAGCUGGAAGUCUGUAAAUUUUGAUAAUAAAUCUGGUUUGCAGUGGGAACUGAAUAAUUGUGAUUACAACUCUACCUAACCUAUGAUGGUGGAGGUACCUGUGAAAGGCCUCAGAAGAUGGUGUUAAUAUGCAGGCGUCUUCACGCAUGUAAAGGUCAUCUGUUGGUGGCACUUCAGAUGUAUGGGUCCCUUGCAAGGGUUUUAAGCAUGGGUAGGCAAACUAAGGCCCGGGGUAGGCAAACUAAGGCCCAAUUGCCUUCUCAAUCUGGCCUGCGACAGUCCAGGAAUCGGCGUGUUUUUACUUGAAUAGAAUGUGUCCUUUUAUUUAAAAUGCAUCUCUGGAGGUAAGCUUGCCAUGAAGCUUACAAGUGGACUUUUUGCUCUCAAGGACACAGAAUUGCCAUGUUCAGGGAACAUGAGUAAUAAGAUCAGAAAGGCUUUUGCAACCACAUCAUCAUUAUCAGAACUUGCUAGUCAAAUUGUUUAGAUGACAUGCACAAGUGUGGAACUGUUGGAAAACUAGGCACUUAUUUUUUUACACAACAAUUUCAGUUUUUCACAAGUUGCUUGAGAAACAAACCACACGUAAAACAACACCCUAUAAGGUUAAGAUUGUGUUUUGGGGGUGGGGUGGGGUGUGGAAUGGUUGUUUAUUUAAAGCAUUUUUAAAAAAAAUAUUGUUCUUCAGCUGAAAAGGGUUCCUAGAGUGGCUUAAAAAUAUCAAGGGAAAAGACAGGUUUAUAGUCCACAGGCUUAUAGUUUAAGAGACACAACCAAAAGGAAAAAGGGAUUGGGAGGGAGGAGGGGGGGGAAGCAAACUCCUGGGCAGUUUCUUAGUUGCAGAGUUUCUGUAACAAGCAGCUGGAAUGGAAAUAAGCUGGUCUUGCAGUGGAGAGGAUGGAGAGGCCCUGAAUUCCCAUUCCUCCCCCUCUCCUAGAACCUGGUGGGAAUAGCUGCUGACAUAUGACAGUGGAGGGAAGAGCCUUUUCUUCAAACCAAACAUUUUUAAAUCUGAUGGCAAGGCUAAUUAAGUGGCCAGAUGCAAAAGAGAACUGGGUACCUGCACCUGUUUUGCAGAAGAGGGAAUUUCACAGGUGCAAUCUGUCCUGCAAGCAACACCUGCUUAACGUCCUUUCUCUACACAUCUACUGAAGGUGCAGGAACCCUCAUCCUAGUUUGCAUCUGACCACCCUAGGACUGACUGAAGAGGUUUCUGGCUCACAGUUAAAAUGUGUGUGCACACAUACACACAUUUGGUUUAUAGUAAGCUUUCUACUCUGUAUGAACAGAAGUCCUGAAAUAGGAAGUCAGUUAUUGAAGAGAAGGCAGCUUUCUGAAGGCAGGCCUAAGGAAAUAGGUUGACUCCCUCCCUCACCACUUUCCCUGCUCUUCAGCGGAUGAGUGAUUCCAGAGUGGGCUUUGAGAAAUACAAAAUAAAGCAAUAGCAGUCAAUAUAACAUUAAAUUAGUAUACAGGCUCAUAGCUAUCCUAUGCGCUCCCUCUCAGCAUGAAUAUCGGGUUGAGCAAGUCCCACUCACCGUCACAUUCAAUUCAGGAUGUGUCUCCCAGCUGUGAAAUGUGUCAUUUUACCUAGUGGACUUAAUCUGAGAGGGGUGGGCUUCUAGGCUGAAUCGCUCUCUGUCUCUGCCAUAAGCUUCUAUUUCUACAGUAGAAAUUUUGGGGGUCUGAGUUAUCUUGUUUCCUGAGCCAUAUAUUUUCUCGUUUAUGCAUGCUGUAUUCCAAAUUUAGUUACAUUGCUUUUGAGUGUUCCUUAUAGGAGGCCUCAGAGAAACUCCAACCUCCACAGCUCACAGUAAUUUUUGCAGGGGCUUUGCUUUUGUUUUCAGGGGAUCUCUGGGCUUGGGGGCCAUCCUACAAUUGCCUCUGAUUCCUCCACCUUUUAGCCGGACAGGAUAUUUAUACAUAAAGUAUAUAUGUGUUUCUUAACAAAACCCUGAAGGAGGCAGAACCCUGAGGACCGGGGUGGGAAUGAGUAUUCUUCCCUCUAGGGAGCCAGAUGUGUGUAUUUGGUGUGCGUAAGCAAUCCAGAGCAAAGCAUUAAAGUUUCUUCCCCUUAUAUUGGUAAUGGAGGGGAGAGGGGGGGUAGCCCUGCCACCCCCCUCAAGUUGUGUUUAUGUGGAGGAGCCUCAGCACUGCUGGCCUUGCGCCGUGGUUUCUUGGCAGGCGAGCCAAGAGGGAAUGUGUUUCGGUUUGAGUUUCUUGGCAGGCGUGGAGGCUGAGAGGGAAAGGUUUCCUUCAAUCCAGCCUAGUACUCAGUUCUCAAAUUUAUGCCCAUCGGCUGCUACUUGGGUGGGCCAGAGGCGGCUGUGCAGAGGGAGGGGAGGAGGGUGACUCCUCACAGGAACAGGCGUUCCCUCCCCAUUGGCUGCAUUCAGCUCUUACGCCUGCAUGCAUGUACACACACACAGGCACACUGUGCGUUCCCCUGCUCCCCAGGGAAUUGCCAUAACAUGCUCCAGAGGUGAAUCUCCUGAGCCCCUAAUAAGAGGCGAGAUAGGCUCAAACUCUCAGGCAGUUCUUGCGUGGCUUCAAGCUAUGAUAAAAGGUGUGUCUGCGUGUGUGUGCAGGGGAGAGGUGUUGGCUGAGGAGCAUAUCAAAAAGCACAGCUCUGUGCCAUUAGUGCAGCAGGUAUGUUGGAUCUCUGCAGCUGCUCCAAGGAAGCAGCGUAAGUGCUGAGACACUGUCGGAGUGCUCCCUCCCUAUGGAAAUUGUAUGGGGUUAUUGCAGCAGCAACAAAACAAUGUUUGACUGCUCUCCCCCCUGCCAAGCCCUUGCAGCAGUGCCAGUUUAAAGGAAGCCAAACUGUAUUGAAGAAAGCAGCCAGUUAUGAAUAUCCCUGUUUCCUUCUCACAUCUUGAAAACCUCUGUGCUAGCUGGGCAAGGUUUAUACAGGACAAGCUGAAGGAGGCCUUGCAGAGGGUUGCCAACUCAGGGCCGAUCCACACAACUCUUUUACAGAUGGUGAAAGAAACAAGAGGCUUUUUCUACCUGCUGAGCUGCUGAACCACUCCUGUGGAAUUAGCCCACUAGAACAGUGGUUUUCAAACAGUGUGCUUGAAUGAUGGCCGGGAGUGCCACAGGCCCUCCUCUGCUGCUCUCUUGCAUCUCUGCCUCCCAAAGUCUUGCACAGCUGUUUGUUGCAGCAGCUCUGGCUACAAGCUCCUCAGGCGAAUGGUGACUCUGGGGCUUGGCCAGGGGGUGCUGGUUGCCGGGAGCUGAGUCCUCCAGCCCUUGCUGUUGGGAAUAGACAGACAAGUGGGAGGCCAGGCAGGCAGGCACCGUGCUGGCCUGCCUUGUGCUUGCUGUGUGCAGUGCCUGCCUGGGAGAUGAGUGUCCAGUGCCAAAGGGGAGCUUUUCUGCCAUGCAGGCCCAGUGGCACCUGCUACUUCCCAAAGUAAGUAAGGUGCUGGCUUCACAUUCACCUUUGGCCAGUCUCUGUUGGGCCACUAAGGCUGGGGAUAUCCUCUUCCCAGUCCCCUGGUGGUGGGGGUGAAGAAGACCUCUUUUGGGGGCAGAGGGGUGGUUCAGAGACCGGGGUGGUGGUGGAGCUGCCUGGAGCACUCCCAGGGAGAAGAGAAAGGAGAGGAGGCUGAGGAAACACUCUACAAGGGGGGUGUUCAAAAAGGGGUGAAGGGCUGCCAACUCUGCAGGCAAGAGGUGACAUAACUGGGCUUCUGAGGCUCAGAGUGCGUUUCCCCACAGGGGAGCCACAGCAAGAAUAUAGUUGGUCAAGGGAGCCAUGGACACAAAAAGGUUGAAAAUCUUCACUAGAUUAUCUGUUUCAUGGUGCCCUUCAAGAUGUUGUAGACUACAGCUCCCAUAAUAUCUGACCAUUGGCCAGCUGGAGUCCAACCUUUAAAGUACACCAUACAUUUAAAGCACACCGCUCCCCCCCAAAGAAUCCCAGGAACUGCAGUUUGCCCCUCAUAAAGCUACAAUUCCUAGCACCCUUUUGGAAUUGUAGUUCAAAAAAACUUGCAGGGCACUUCAUUGGCUGCUACUGAUCUAGUGCAAUUCCCCGCUCUAAGGUAGGUAUCUGACACCUAAAACAUCUCUAACAGGUGGCUGCACAACCAUGGCAAAUGUGUCAAUGUGUGCCCACACCAGUGCCGUGGUUACAGAGGGGGGUUAGCCAGUUUUUUGCCCAGAAGGGGGUCAUUGAGGCUCCCUGCCAGUGUCUUUGUGUGUGUGAAAAUGUGCGUGGUGGGUGCCAAACUUGGUCUUUGACCCAGGUGAAAGAAAGUCUAGUUUUGCCCCUGGCCCACACCAUGACACAUACAUUUGUUUGCUGGACCAGCUAUAUAAAGGUGUGUUGUGGCCAAUUUAGCAUCACAUGUAGCUCAGAAUGGAUUACAGUUACAAAAUAUACAUAAAUUAGAAUAAAAUCCUUCCAAUUACUAGAUCACAGCAGGCAAUUCAGAAUCCAACAUAAAACAAAGAAAGAACUUAGCAUCAGGAACUGGAAAACGGGAAAUUAAAAACUUUCUUCUGAUGCCAAAGGAGACUAAAGUUGGCAUCAAGUAAACCUCUUUGAGGAGUUCCAAAAACAGGGUGCCACAAGUGAAAAGGCUCUGUCUCCAGGUAUCUGAUGGAAUACUUUUGAUGGCAGAAAAACAUGGAACAGAGCCUCUAAGGCUGAUCUCAGUAGCUGGGCAGGGUCAUGUGAGCAGAUGGGCCUUUACUUCAUCUUGUCCUAAAAUGGCUUAAUUUGAGCUAAGACUACAGAUGUAUUUGAGUGUGUACAGGGUUCCUUUUGCCUCACCAGAAAGGUCAAAAGGCGUGACACUUGCUACAAAUAGUUGUCUAUAGUAUGCUGAUAUAUACUAGCCCCAUACAGGCAAGUGGUACAUAAGAGUACCAAAUGUGUGAAGCGAUAACCAAGUUGUGUCGGUGUCUAUCAGAAGGGGGUUAUGUGCAUACAGAUGUUCAUGCAAAGGCCUAAUUCAGAUUGGUCUGAUCACACAUGUUUAGCCCAUGCAAUCUGAUUAGCCCACCAUAGGUAUUGAAUGCUUGAAUGGGCUACUAAAAGCAUCUAAAUUGUCUGUAACCAGGCAAGGUUACACUGUGUGUGUGUGUGUGUGUGAAUAAACAGCUAUAAACAGCUCACUGAAAGUUUCAUCUUAGUAUUAUAUGGCACACACGCACACACAAGGACAAAGUUGGUGUUAGAAAUUACUCAGAAGAAAACAGGAUUGAUAAUGAAAACACAAAAAUCAUAAUGCCAUUACAGAAAUCUAUAUAUAAAUCUAUGCUUAAGCCUUACUAUGAAUACUGUCAUUUAGUUGUGACAUCUUACCUAAAAUAUAAUAUAUUGGAGCUGAAGAAGGUUCAGAAAAGGGCAGCUUAUCAGUGAGAUUUAUCAUUUUCCCUAGAAGUCUUUAAAAGUUGAGAGGGUUUUUUAAAAAAUCUUUUAAAAAAUGAAAUUAUGAACACUAUGGAGAAAUUAACUCUCCUAUCUCUCAAACUUCAAGGUCAUCCAAUAAAACUGAUUAGCACUGAAUUCCUUAAGUUAUGUAGCAGCUGUGUGAAAAUGUAUAUGGCAGAUCAUUGGCUUAGAUGGGGUUGGAUAAAUUUGGAUAAAUUUCCGUUCUGGGAAGUUUUUAAUGUUUGGUCUUGUAUUGUGUUUUAAUUUGUUGGAAACCACCCAGAGUGGCUGGGGGAACCGAGUCAGAUGGGGGGAAUAAUAAUAAUAAUAAUAAUAAUAAAAUAAUAAUAAUAAUAAUAGGGAAAGAUGUAGAUUUAUCAGUGGGUAUCAUUUGGGAUGAAGAGUCAGUCUUUUUCUCAUUUCUGUCGUUUUUCAUGUGUUUAUGUGUGUUCUUUCCUGUUUCCACAUCAAUCUGAUUUAUUUUUAAGAAUAUUCGCAUUAUUCUCAAUGUGUUUUUUUCUCACAAAGCACAUCAUUUCUGUAUGUGCUUUAACCUAAAAUGUCCUUUUAUAUGCGUGUUGAUCCAAGAAUAGCAUCACAAACUGCAGAGAAGUGAAAAAAACGAAAGGAUAAACUGCUUCCUGAUCUGUGUACUAUUCUGUGAAGUGUGAAUCUGGUUGUUUUGCUUAAAAAUGCAGGCUGAACAAAAUCCUCAUGGAUCCCUAGGUAUGAGCAAUAACAGCUAAUAAUAGAACAUUCAUUUUCAGAAGCAUGUAGAACAUCUGAUUCCCAGAUGCUGGGCAUGGCCGUGGCCAUAAUGUCUUCUCCCCACCCCCACCUUCUGGGGCAUCUGGAUGGCUGCCGUUGGAGAGACGCACUGCGGGGAUGGAAGCUUUGGUGUGAUUUAGCAAGGCCCUAUUUGAGUACCCUUUAAUGUGCUGUGUGAGAGGCUGGGGCAGGAAGGAUUACUCAAGCCUCCUCCUGGUUUUUCUUUAUUUAUUUAGCAACCCUUUUCUUAUGCAAGCAUUUUGAGUCUCAGUUUCCCAUCCAUAUAAGUGGGGAUUAUAUUAUGCAUGUAUAACCCUACCCUGCCUUGCAGGAUAGGCUGGGAUAAUGAACAGGAUAAGGAUCACAAGAAAAGGCACAGAGAGGUCAGUGUGAAGAGUGUGCAGAUACCUUGGAGAGAAAAGCAGUGUGUGUAAGGAAAGGAUGAAACCCGAUGUGUUAGAGCAGGGGUAGGCAACCUAAGGCCCGGGGGCCAGAUGCGGCCCAAUCGCCUUCUCAAUCCGGCCCACGGACGGUCCAACAACCCUAUGAAGGUAGGUUAAUGCUGAGGUUGGACCUGGCCCAAAAUCACCCAGCGCGUGGGGAUCUGAAAUUUGGCCUUCACCCCACUGAUUAAAUUGGCUGAGCUUUAGGGACAUCAAAGCCCUGAAUAUUUUGACAGUUGGUGCUAACUCUAGAGCGUUAAAUAGACAGUGCUAAUCCUACACUUGUGCCUCUGGAUGGGUAGUAAAAACCCAUGCCAACAAACCCGAAAUAAUGCUUCUUGCAAGCAGUGGCGAAGCUGCAUGCUCCGCUCCCGGGGGCGGAGAGCAGGCGGGGCCACGGCUGGUGCCCACCGGGGGCGUGGCAUGCCACACGCGAGGGCGUGGCUCACGUUGUGGGGGCGUGGCGCGCUGCCUGUGGGGGUGUGGCGUCUGGGGCGCGGGGGGCGCGGCGCAUGUCCGGGGGGCCUGCCGCGAUGGCACCCUACCGGAAUAGUGGUGCCGGGGGCGGUCCGCUCCCUCUGCACCCCCGUUCCUCCGCCAGUGCUUGCAAGAGUAUAACUGAUGCACCCUAAUGUGAGAGUUAGCCCCACUGGGCACUAACAGGCCAGCUCAGUGCUCGAUUUCUGGGAAAGUAAUUCCCACUGACUUCCAACAGAAAGAGUUUCCCAGGUGCAUAAAACUAACAACGUGAUCUUAUGUGUGUUUACUUGGAAAUGUGUUCGAAUGAAUUUAGUGAGACACACAGAGAGAAUCCUGUAGCUUUUGAUCCAGAAGGAAGCCCCACUGAAUUCAGUUGGCGUUACUCCCAAAUGUGAGCAAGCAGGGAUUUGCAGGCUCAGGCCAACAGAUCAGCUGGGGAAGAGUGGGUACUCUGGGUGCUCCUGGGGCAUGGCAGAAAUUGAUUUCUAAAAAAAAGAGAGAUGUCGUGGCCAGCUAAAAAAACCACAGACUUCACUAGGAAACACCUACUCGUAACCCAAAAAUAUGGGGCCAGGCUGAGAUUAGUGCACUCCGUGCAUGCUUCUGCUACCAGCUGCUCAGAUUGCUUGCUUGCUUUGGCAGACUGGCUCUUUUUUCAUAUGUUCACUAAGUUUGUUUUACUGUUAGAAUCUCUGACCUGAACGCCCAACUGGGUCCUGCUACUUUCCUUAUGGUGCUGAAGCUGGAGCUCUGUCUUCUGGAUUCUGACUUGUAUUAUGGCCUAGACGAGGGAUGGGGAACCUUUUCUAAGGCCAAAUUCCUGGAGGGGAGGAGCAACAUAUGUAAUUUUUAUGUGUGUACAGCAGGCUAGGUUCUAUACACGUUCAACAUACCCCUCUCAUAUUUGCCAACAUUUAUCUGAUGAAAAUAGAGAUGUCUUAUUUAAUAAUAUAAAAACGUGGUGAAACAUGGAACAUUAAAAAUACUUCCCUAUACAGGGCUGCCUUCAGAUGGCUCAGUGGUUGGAUAACUCCAUACCCGCCAACUUUUCUCUGAUGAAAAUAGGGAAGUCCUAAGUAAAAGUGGGACAUUCUGGGAUCAAAUCAGAAACUGGGACGGCUUCUGUAGAUCCAGGAUGUCCCUGGAAAAUAGGGACCGUGGGAGGGUCUGCCCUCAUCCUCCAGGCAAGCAAGAGGUGCUGUGAGCAUUCAGGGACACAUUCCAGCCAGGCAAAAGCACUCUUAAGAGAAUGCAAAGCAGGGCCGGGGGGAUGGAGGCUGGGGAGAGUCUUGGGGGCCAGGUAGAGAGGCCUCGGAGGCCACAUUCAGCCUUGGGUGAUAUUCCCUAUAUCUGCCCUAGACCUAAUCUUGGAAAGACCCUCACUGAUGCUGGUUAAGGAGGCUAGCUUGACAAUGCCAGUGAAAAGAACAUCCACAUCUUUCUUUGACCUCCAAGUUAAGAGGUAGAGGGUUUUUUGUGCCCUAUAGCAUUUCUCCCUGUUAACAUUUUCCCACAGUGUUGCAGCAUGUCACAUGGUUUGGAUGACCAUUGGAUGUUCUGCUGUGGCAUCUGUGUAACUGAAGAGAGCAAGAUGCGUGUCAUCCAAUGUUUUUAAAAUGAAGGGAGGCGCUUUUUUUUUACAGCAAGAGUUAAGGUGGCUCAGCUUUAUAGUGGGGUAUAGUGCUAUGAGCAGAGUACUGAUUAUAUUGUAAUUUUCCAUGAAAUAGUAGAAUUGUGUGAGGAAUUCCACUUUCUUUUUAAAAAAGCAAGUAUCUAGCCAAUGGUAUAUUUGAAUUUGAAAUUCUGUGGGCAACCUUUUCUGAAAUCUCAUAGACCAAAGUGGGGGCUGAGUGAUAUUUUCAGUGUGUGAAGAUGGCCUUUCAAUGCCUUGCAUAGCUGCUCACUCUCCUCUGUGAUUAACAAAGCUAGAAUAAAUUAUGAAAAUGGCACAAAUUGCAUAAUAAAUGUAUGCAACAUUUGCUUGGAUUACACAAUUUAGACAUCUUGCAGAAUUUAGCUUUUCUUGGUGCAGAAUUUGCAUUGGAUGGAUACAGAAUUUUAACUUUUCUAUUGUUAUUAUUGCUGAGUGAAAAAAUUAAGUGGAGCAACACACUUCCAUUGGCUUUAGCAGCUGACACUCCCCAUUCAAGACUUUUGGAAAAAAUUGCGUCUAUAAUCUGGACUUCCAAUGUCUCUUAGGAAAUGCAUUUUUGUAUCAAGAGAGAGAGAGUCAUUUUCUCUUUUCCAUUUUUGUUAAACAACUCAAAGGAUUUUAAAGAAUGUCAAAGUAGAUACAGAAACUGGCUUCCUACCAGCUAAAUAGGCAGAUUUGAAGUAUACAGAUCCACUACACCAAUUGGGAUAAAUAGUGAGAAAAUGUUGUAUCUGUAUGGUGCUGCUGAAAGGCAUAGCAUGGUUAUGUGCUAGUUCAUGCAUGUGCAAAUAUGGGAUUCACAUAUUUUGAUGUGUUUAUGAAUUAUGUAUGUUGGGUGCUGUGCUUGCAGCCUCACCUCCUCGGUUUGUUCUGGGAUAAAAAACAAAAAAACAAAACCCAGCCCUUCAAAACUAAUGAAAUUCUGAUGUACUCCAGAACAACUCUCCCAUGACCCUGCCCUUUCCUCUGGCCAGUUCUGUGGGUGGAAUGGAAAAAAGGAUGGAGGGGUGAAGUCUCCUGACACAGAAGCCCGGGGCGGAGGGGGGUGCUCCUUAUACCUGAUUAGGAUUUAUUGCUAUUCUAAUUACUGUUGUCACUUCAUGGGGCAGGUGGGGAAUUUGAUAUUCUUAAAGCCCCAAAUGUUAGCUUUUUUUGAAAUUGAAGUGAUCUUCUGCUAUGUGCAUUCAGCUUGCGUCAGAUCCCACCCAGGUUCAAUGUUCUGCAUGAACAGCAUAUAGAACAGCACAUAACACAGUCAGAGCUCUGGUUCUUCUUCUUCUGCACCCCAUGCAAUUCAGGGUUCCUGUACAUUUAGGUCAUAGAAUCCUGAGUACGCGCAGGUCUGGGUUGCAGACUUUUUAACUAGUGUCUCAUGAGGGGGACAUUGGGGGAAGAAGGUGCUUUGUUUUGGGCCCCCGUCACCCAGACCUGAUGCUUAGUGCUUGCUGUUGUCCAGCUGCUGGUCACUGUGAGAAAUGCUGCUGGUCUCUUUCCCAGGUCGAGUGCGUUCCUUGCAACACCCAUCCUACUGAUAGCUUAUGGAGACAUGUAAGCUGGUCCUGCUUUCUGUCCACACUCUCCCAUGACCCUGAGAGCUCCUGCCAUCCAGGUCUCAAGGCAGGGCAGGGACUAUCCUGAAGUGCCUUGGGAGCAUAGCUGUCAACUUACAGAUUUGAAAAUAAGGGACCAGCAGCCUUGAAAAUAAGGGACCAGCAGCCAAAAUAAGGGACCUGCAGCCUCACCUGUUCCAGGCACUCCAGUCUUCCUGUCCUCCUGCAGUCUGGUCAUACUGGUAGCUUCAAGAACACUGUCCAACCAACUUUGUAACCAGAGGUUCAACUGAAUAGAAUCUGAAUCACAUGCACCAUAAGGCCUAUGCAGCCUCAACUUAAGAUCUCCCCGGCCUGGCUUUGCACUGCAAAGUUUGCAGCAGCACGUGCAACAAAAUGGCGUCCAGCAUUCAAAAAACCCCUCAGCUUGCAUUAACUAGCUACACACAAGGCAUGCAAGCUCCACGCCCCAGUCGUUCUUAGACUUCUUAUUGGGUGAGCAACACAGCCAAGCAACACAGUUGGAGCCUCCCUCCUCCCUGGGCGGCAGGGAGGGAGAGGAGCUGCUUCCUUUGAAAUUUAAGGGAAAUCAUUUAAGGGACAUUUAAGGUACAUCCAUCAAUAAGGGACAGCACCGGGACAUGGCGCUGGAAUAAGGGACUGUCCCUUCAAAUAAGGGACACUUGACAGCUAUGCUUGGGAGGGGUCUCAUGCUCAUCUUUCUACUCUUGCUGAUGCAGCUGUGGCAACCUUGCUGUGUGGUCUUUUUACAAAUAACACGGCCAUUCAGCAAAAAGUAAGGCACUAGGUGCACCAAAGUGCAAUGGCAGUGAAGUCAGCCUCUGUGUCCUGCCAUUCUGGUGCCAGUUUCCUGCAAUAUGGAAUGCACAGUGAACAUUCCUGGUGAUAUAUGUUCCCACCACCACAUUCUCCUCUGCAGUGGUGGGUAUAUAUUCUAAACUGGCAAAUGUGUGGUGAAUUUUUUAUUUUUAGAAUCAGAGGUUUGACACCCAAAGAUUUUGCAGCGGUGGUCAGUUUUUGACAGUAUCUGAUAUUGUUAUGUACUGAAGUUCUCACCCUGGGCCAGCAGGAGGAUACUGUAGAUACGUCAGGUCCACAUAUGCAAAUAAGGGAUCGAAAGUGACGUUCAGUGAUUGGAUAGUUACAGAAAAUGGUUACUGUUGCGUUCUAGUGGAGCUCUAUAUAAGCAGGCUGGCUGAACCCUUCAGUUCAGUUCUGUUCUGGCCUGUGAAUAAACAAGAGCUGUUUGAAAAAUUGCUGUGUCAUCUGAUAUGUUCAUCCACAACUUAACAGAUAUAUACCGUAUUUUUUGCACCAUAACACUCACUUUUUUCCUCCUAGAAAGUAAGGGGAAAUGUCUGUGCGUGUUAUGGAGGAAAUGCCUACGGGUGGCAUGCCUACGGAUUUUCCUCCUCUAAAAACUAUGUGCGUGUUAUGGUCGGGUGCGUGUUAUAGAGCGAAAAAUACGGUAGAUUGAUUUUUGACAAUGUUUUUCCUCUCUCUCUCUCUCUGUAUAUAUAUAUUAUCAUCAUCAUCAUCAUGGGCAAAAUCCCAUUCAGCUCUAGUUCAAUAUAAUGCAAAUUAGCUAGGUUUAGGGUAACCAGAAAUGCACUAGAGCUCAGACAGCAUAUUAAGACAGUAAGUGUGUGUGUGUGUGUGUGUGUGUGUGUGUACACACACAAAAUCAUGUGCCAUGAAAAGCUGAAUUCUGUGACUUGUGUAAAUUGUGCAAAUCAAGGCCGUUUCAUAGAUCUCCUUGACUGUGACACUAAGUGUGGAAUUAAAAGGAUAUAGCAAGAGUAGAUAGUAAUUGGUUCAGAGUUCAUUCAUAGAUCCAGGAGGGCUGAGUUAUGCAAGAGCAGAUGAUGAGAUGGUAAGGGCAAAAGUAUGUGAUGGGGUGAGGAGAAAGAAAACAUUUUCUCCUAAUGGAAGGGGCAGAAUCUUCACUUUUUGGGGCGUGCAGAAUAAUAGUUUAAAUAUAAUGAUUUUUCUGCAUUAUAUGACUUCAGUAUGUUUGGGGGUGGGGAAAGAUAGUUUGUACCCCUACUUUUGAAGAUGUAUGUUGAAAUCCCACAUUGGAGCAGUGUGCGUGUUCUUUCCUGCAUGGAGACUGUCAUGGGUCCCCAAGUCCUCUCAAUUCUGCAAUCCCAGAUUCCAAAGUUUGCAUUUUACGCUGUGUGGCUUUCUGACAUCUCUACAUCCCCCACCCCAAUUUCAUCUGACUGGGUGGUUUCCUGUAGUGCUUCAAUAUUGAAAAACUUGUCACAGAAGCAUAAAAUGAGAACAUUACAGAAGCCAGAGGUUUCAGUGAAGUCUCUGCAAAAUGAAAGAACUCCUUUCUCCAACCAGCACAUAGAGUAACCAGUGACAUAGAUAUGCCUGAUGUGCUCACAAUUUGCAUUGUUUAUGUGAGAGCAUGCAACACACUGAGGAUUUGCCUGGUGUGAGACUUUCAGUGAGCAUUUUGCAUGCAGAACCUCAUCAGCGGGAUAGUUUGUAGUCAUUCAAUCUUUAUGUAGCAUUCUUGGAACGUACCCAAAGCAUCCUUUGUGCCAACUGCAUGAUGCAUCUUGCCAUAAAUGUAUACACUCCCGUUUGUGUGCAUGUCCAUCUUCCCAGGCGCUCAAUAUACAUAGUAUAUAAAAUCCCUGAAGUUUACAGGCUCAAAGUUAAAAUCUGUAUGACGUAUUCUUGUACAACAGUUUAAUAUGCAAAAAACCCGCACCCCUGAAUAUCUCUCCCUCAAGGAACAUAACAAUUCUGCACCUGUCCAGCUCAGUCCUUUAAUAUGUAUCCGAAACAUUUUGGGGACCAUGUUGACCUCCCGGUAAUCCACUUAACCCAUGACUUAGCAUGUAGAUUUGGUUGUAUGAAUCAACUCUGAGUCAAAAUUCAAAACUGCUGAUCAAGGCCAGAGCCUGAAGUCGAACAGCACUAUUACAGCAAAUUAAUUUCAGUUAAUUGGAGUUGCAAAACAGCGAACCAGGGACUGAGCAAUGGAGAACGGGACACUAGCGCCGCCCGAGGCGUGAUGGAGAACAGCAACAACUGGCAAAAGAUAGGCACUGUAAUAUAUUUUGAGGACAGGAAGAAACAUUACGGACAGAAUAAUUGCCACACACAGGAAGGAGUUUCAAUGCUCCAUCUGUAGGUGUAGAAAUAAUUUAAUGUGUCAAUAUGAAUGGAAGUCGUUAAAACUGCAGUUGCGAUAUAAGGGAUUGGUAUUUUGACUGGAGCUGUAAUUGAAAUUUAUAAGAUCUUGGAACACAGAAACAAAAUAAAUAAACCAUUAAUUCUGGCACGCAGAGGGCCACCUAAAUUGUAUAAUUUGGCAUUUCAAUGAUUUGUAUCAUUAAUUGCUCUAUAAUUUGGCAUUGUUAUAAUGAGACUAUUAUUGGAUUGUAGUAAUUGAAAACUAAUAAAAAUUAUUUUUUUUAAAAAAAAUCAGUUAAUUGUGAAGGUAGUGCCAGGAAAAGAAGAAGUGUAGUGAGCAUCACCCCACCCAGCUUAGCUUUCAUUGUUGUGAUCUGAAUUAUCCCUGUAUAAUCAAGGCAACAACAGACUCUUGUGGCACCUUAAAGACUAUCAUAUUGUGGCAUAAGCUUUCAUUGGCCGGAGUCCACUUCACUGAAUGCAUGAAGUAUACCCCCAAACUGGCAGGCAUAAAUACGCCUGUGGUUGGAGAUGGGAAAUGCAGAGGAGUGAGGUCAGAAGUGUGUGUGUGCACGCAAAAAUAAGAGUUCGUCCACACCAGGGGUAGGCAACCUAAGGCCCGUGGGCCGGAUGCGGCUCAAUCGCCUUCUCAAUCCGGCCCGCGGACGGUCCGGGAAUCAGUGUGUUUUUACAUGAGUAGAGUGUGUCCUUUUAUUUAAAAUGCAUCUCUGGGUUAUUUGUGGGGCAUAGGAAUUCGUACAUUCCCCCCCCCCCCAAUAUAGUCCGGCCCACCACAUGGUUGGAGGGACGGUGGACCGGCCCACGGCUGAAAAAGGUUGCUGACCCCUGGUCCACACUUCCACUUGUCCCAUGCCUAGAAAGCAUAGGUCCAAGGGGUUUUCUGCUUGUCCUGCGCUUUCUAGCUGUGGGUCUGAGUGAUUUUGCCUUUGCCUCACUUCUUUCCCUCUGAAAACCCACUCUAUGGUGAUAAAUCAGAACAAAAGGCAUUUGUGGAAAACCCAAUUGCCAUUUUUUUCGAUUCAGUGCGAAAUAUUAGGUUUCCCCAGGGGAAAGUGGAGGUGUGGAUAAUCCUCAAAUCAGUGAUAGUUUUGUAAAAAAAAACCAAAAUAAUUACAGUGACAGUUGACAAGGUUGGUGAUAACAUGAACAUCCUUACACUGAUAAACUAAUAUAAAGUGAUGCAAAUUCAGUCAAUCAUUUUAUUUGUGUUCUGCCUUUUUACAACAUGUAAAAAGAAAUACAAUACAUAAUUACAAACAUAACAAAAGUAGUCAUAAAUAUUAAAAUAUCAAAAAGUACAUUUUGAACAAUUUCCAUGUCAGUCAUAGGAUCUAAAAUGAAGAUGCAAAAAUUAAUAUCAAUAACAGUGACAAUCCCUCCCCCCCGCCACCCCCCCAAAAAAACAUUACCCCAAAUUCUUACCUUUCUUUUCUUGAGGCAAUCAGACUGUUUCUCAUGCAAUGGGAAGUCAGACUUGGAGGGUAAAACAGCUGAACAGUUUGGAGACAAGACUGGUGCUAGUAACUGUGCUCAAACAGGUGUGUACAAAGGGGCAAUCACAAAGUUAUUUAUUUAUUUAGUUAGUAUAUAUACAGUAUGAGAGCGAAUUAACUUAACAGGCAGUAAAGGUUGUUGUUGGCAUCUGUCUGUCUCGAGAGACCAUGGAGUGCGCCUCUGGGGGUGAAGUCAAACUGCUGUGUUAGGAGCACCCAAGUCACCUUCCCAGGGUGCAGACCUGGGCAGUGUGUUUGGGGGUCCUGGGCUGCCCAGACAACAAGACCCCCACCCCCCGCGGUAAAGAUAUUCUCACAGUAUCCUGUAGCAAGAGAAAGAAGCUUCACAUUAAAAUUAAAAAAAAUGUGUAUGUUCUUUCUCCAAAUGUUUCAUUUCAAAAGGAAAUACAAAGUGCCCAUCUCUCAAGAAAUUUGUUUUCAUACCUAAUGUCCCAUUUUGCAUGAAAUUAUAGGUUAAUCUAUAAAUCGCUGCCCGGGUCAAGUAAUUUAUUUUUAAACAUGACUUUUCCUAUGCACAUUUCUUUCCUUCAUUACUUCAAUGCUCAUGUUCUUGUUUUGCCUCUGGGCAAAAUUUUAAAUAUACUGAUUUGGAGAUGGAGUUGUACUUUUCCCACACUUCACCAUGGGUGAUACAUGGGUGCAGAAAAUUAGACUCCCUAUUGAGCCUUUCAGCCAGAUUUAAGUAAGCAGCAGAGAGACACUGCUGUAAAGGAGGCUCCUGUAUCAUUUGUCACGUGAUGUAUGUGUAUAUUUGCAAACCAUGAAGUUCCCCCAACCCAAGCCCAUGGCUGAUAGCUUCCAACUUCUGCAAGGAUGUUGCCAUUUUGGCUGCAUGAGAAUCCACAUUUGGUUAAUGGGUGUUCCUGGUAAUAUACAGUAUGGGGUGAUGGCAAUUUAUCUUAAUUGCAACAGCAGAAGCAGAUGGUGUCAAGUUCCCAUUUCCAUGUCCUUAUGCCUUGGGCACUCAUUUGCGAUUUUGUGUCUUCUCCCCCUGCCCUCCCUCCCUCCCCCUGGAUCAGGCAGGCGGCAAGACUUGUCAACACGGCACUUCAAACCACUUGUGGGCCAUGCUGCCUGUACAGAGGGGGUUUGUGGCAGGCGGGUGUGUGAGGGUAAAUAGUUGAGUUUGUUCAGGAAUUAGCUGGCAUUUGUUGAAUAGGGAAGGGAGCAGGCGAGUGGAGUGGUGAGAAGGAGGAGUGUUUGUGUGUCAAACAAGAGGACUGGGAAGGACAUCCAUUGGUGUGACACAGAUCUCAAGCUAAGUGUCCACUGGAAUUUGCCAUGCUUGUGCUCAGGACUAGUGUAGGUUGGCAAUGGAUCCUGUGCUGCAGCCAAUUGCCUACCUCUCUAAUUGGUCCUAAAUUAUGGUUUGUCUCCACCAGUCAAUUUCUCCUAAGCUUGUAAAAUAGCAGCUUGUGCAGACAGCACCUAGCAUGGCUUGCUUCGUGCUCCACUUCCAAAACGAUUGCUUAAUUUAGUGCUAAAAUCAAUGACUUGUAAAUCAGCUGCUAAUUUUACCCCGGCGUCCCAUAACAUCUCAAAAUGCUGUUUUGAUUUCAAUUACCUAAUUCCCUUCAUUCUGCUUAUUGCCCUUCUCCUCCUCUUAUUUGAAUCUGAUUGUGGUAAUGUCUGUUUAUCCAGCAUGUGCACAGGCAUAGCCUGGUUUCCCAUCCUCCAGGACUGUUUAUAUUCUGUGUUAAGAACUAGAACACCUGAAUUCGGUGACCUGUAUGACUUAGUUUAGAGGAAAAGCCGGAUUAGCAAAACAUCAACAAAGAAUUAAACAGUAGUGACACCUUAAAAACUAACAUAUUUAUUGAAUCAUAAAUGUUUAUGGGGUCCCUCCAGACAUCCUUUUUAUUGUGCAUUUGUGAUUCUUUGCACUCGUGAUGAUAUCGGGGUGGCAAUUUUCAAUCCUGUUUUCAAUAGCAUUUGUGCCUGCAGAGGUUUUUCAGUAUACAUGCUGUUUUGUUUCCAGUCAGGGCAUGUUCCAUAACAAUUGGCUGAAAUCCUGUAGCUUUUCAUUUCACAAAUUUGUGUUUUGGGGGGAGUGGGAGGGUUGCACUUUUGUUGCACUAUAGUGCAGUAGCGCCUCUCCAGAUGGCAACAGUGCAUUAACACUGGGGAACCAUCACAAAACAACUAACAGAGCAGAAAGAGGUGUGGAUGGUUCAGUUUAAAUCCACCACUAAAGCUUAUUAUUGCAGAAUGUUGCCGAAUAAACCUACGAAAAAAACCAAACCCAAACCCCCACCCCUCCACCAGUCCCGAGAGACCCAUGCACUAGAGUUCAUCACCAGAUGCGUAUAGUUGGCAGAAACACUCAUAUGCAUUCAUUAGAAUUGAAAGCAGUGAGCCCAAAAGGCCAUGAAAUGCAGAAUGAGGUCUGUGAGAUUUUUGUGCAAAGUUCUGUGUACAAAAUAAGCACAGUGAGCCAGUGCUAUUUUUCUAGAAAAAGAGGUGCCAGAACUCACCAUGAACAUCUCAUUCAUUUUAUUAGAAUGGCAAUGGUGCCCACCUGAGAGGUGCCGGAACUGAGUUACAGUGAGUUCCGGCUGGGCGAAAAGCCCUGACAGUGACCAUACACAGUAGCAGCAGUUCGUAAUAACACAAGCUCCCUGGAUUUGAUGUUAAUUUACCUGUACUGGUAGAGAAGUCUUCACCAUGUGCUGGUUCUGUGUCACAUGGAUAUUUCUGCAGCUAAUUAAAAAAUGGUCAAAUGGGGAGAGUAUAAAUAAGCAAGGCCGGCUCACUCAUGAGGCAAGGUGAGGUGACCACCUCAGGUGGCAAGAUCCUCAGGAGCCCCUGAGACCUGUGGGUAUGCAAAUUAUUAUUAUUAUUAUUAUUAUUAUUAUUAUUAUAUCUACUGUCCAUCUUUCUUCCCCUCUUGUUCCUGCUGUGCAUCUUUCCCAGGCGGGGUGAGGGAGGGCGCCAUUUUAGUGUUCACCUUUCCUCACAUCCAGCUUUCUGCCCAUAGGGACCCCUUUGGCUCUUAGCUGGUCAGAACCAGCAUCUCAUGAUUUGCAAGCUGAUCUCUUGAUUCCAGGGGAGAAGUGUGCCAGUUCAUGACUUUUGCACCCAUUACAUAGCCCAGAUCUUCAGUGCCUCCCUGAAUUUGCUGUCUAUGGGAAGUUCUCUUGCUCACAAUGGAUGCAAAGGCAUGAGUGCUGAGCCGGGCUCUUGGGCUGUGCCUGAAGCCUUCAGGACAUCCUAGAGCCAAACCUGGGGAACGGAGAGCGUCUCAGCGCACAGCAUAACCCAGCCCUGCCCAAGGGCAAUGGCAAGAGGGAAGAGGCUUUUUCAGUUUGCAAUAUCAUUAUGGACUUAAUCACCAGGGAGAUAGAAAUUGUUUUGUAGAUGUAGAGGAGGUGUGUUGGCUGACAACUAAGGAUGCUUAGGUUCCCUUAACCAGUUCAGUUUUUGCUGCGGCAGGUGAACAUAGCUCCCCUCUGGAAACCAUUCUGCUGAGCCUUCAAACUCUGCCUUAUCUUUGGGCCUCCCCCAAGCUUUACUUAACAUGUGCCAUGAGAAAGUGUGAUGCUCACUGCAUGACCUCUUCUGGGUGUACAGGAGUUGGGUCAGCACGGAGUCCUUUUUGAGCAGCUGAAAUAUUUCUGCUGGCUUGCUGUUUGACAAAGAAGGAAUGGGGAAGGGGGCUGAAUACAUCUUUCCAUAUAGCCAUUUACUUGGAUUUAAUUAUAUUUUUAAAUGCCACAAAGCAUGCACAGAGCUUCAGCUGCUGGACUGCAAAGAAGAACCCAUUGAUUCAGCUAGGCAUAUCAAGGCAGGAGUUUGCUUUCAAACUUGCCAAAGCAGGAGUGGGGAACCUUUGUUCAGCUUGAGGUUCGUAUUCUUUUGAGGACCGCAUUCCAGAAUGGUGGGUGGAGCCACAGAUAUUAUCAUAAGCCAUAAGCCAUGCAGAAGUCACGAGGAUCGCUACCCUAAAGGGAUCUGAUCUUUCUCUUUCUUUAUGAUCUGAUAUGUAACAACAAGUUGGGCACGUGAAGAAAGAAGAUGGGUAGAUGGGGGUGAAGUUUCAAAGGCGCACAGCUAUAUUGUCAGCACAGUAAAAUAAAGGCAACCUAAUUACAUCCUAAUGCUAAUUCUGUGGUUUAAAUAACAAAGGGUCCUUGUAGGACCUUCAAGCUUCACAAAUUUAUUGUGGUGUGAAAUGUCUUAGGCUGGAAGGAACCUUCAUGAAGUGAUUUGGAGACAUUUGGUAUCUAGAGCAUGGGCAAAAGGCGUUUGUAAAAGCUCCAUCAUUUAGUGUAGCAGCACAUACGCUUUGGAACUCCCUGCCCAUUGAUAUCAAGCAGGCACUUUCACUGUAUUCUUUUCAGUGCCUGCUAAAAACAUUCUUCCUUAGACAAGCCUAAUCCAGAUGCUUAGAAAUGUUGGUGUGAAUCUCUCUUCAGUAUUUUAACUUCUUGUAUGUUUUAAUGUAUUGAAUUUCCCCCCUGAUUUUUAAAAACCUUUUUGUAAACCACUUUGAGAUUUCUCCCAAUCAAGCAGUAUAUAAAUUUUAUGAAACAAAUGAUUCAAAUGUAAGAGUUAACAGUGGGUGGGUGUCCCACUCCGCUGUGCACAUGUCAGUUCUGAACUCAGAGCAGGUAUUUUGCCACUGCGGGGGGGGGGGGGGAGAGAGAGAGAGAGAGAGAAUGAGAAUCCAGCUCACAGAAAGCAGCUUUCAGCUAAAACUACGUUAAAGAUUUCCAUGAUGACACCAGUUCAUCCGAAUGGUGCAAUUGCAAGCAAACUCUGAAGGAACUCCAAAAGGGUAUCAUUAUCUAUGGACUGGACAACAGGUGGGAUUUAAUUCUAAGUAAGUACAAAGUGAUGCACAUUGCAAGACAAAAUCAAUCCAUCAACCCUCCACAUGAAUUAACUAUGGCUAGUCCAGGAAACACUUCUUGAAUCACUAUUCUGGUGGAAAACCACAAAACAUAAAUUUAGUGGCCCACUUCAGAGGUCAUGGUGAAUACCGUAUUUUUCGCCCUAUGGGACGCACUUUUUCCCCUCCAAAAAUGAAGGGGAAAUGUGUGUGCGUGCUAUGGGGCGAAUGCAGGCUUUUGCUGAAGCCUGGAGAGCGAGAGGCGUUGGUGCGCACCGACCCCUCUCACUUUCCACGCUUCAGGAAGCUAUGCCGCCGGGCGCGCGAGGCUUGGGGCGGCAGCCAGCAGCCCGAAGCACGGGGCGGGCUGCAGAGCACCCCCGUGCUUCGGGCUGCUGUCCGCAAGCCUCGCGCACCCGGUGGGACCUCCCACCGGGUGCGCAAGACUUGAGGCGGCAGCCUGUUCUGUGGGCUGGGGGGGGAGAUAAUUUUUUAUUAUUCAUUCCCCCCCCCCCCCAAAAAAAAAAACACGAGGUGCGUCCUAUGGGCCAGUGCACCUUAUAGGGCGAAAAAUACGGUAUGUCCAUCUGGGCUGUUUGCAUUUUUCUGAAGGCAUGCAGGGGAAACAAACCAUGAUCCCUGGCUUAGCAUUAUGCAUGGUUGCCAGCCAGAUCUAGAAGUCAGAUUUUCUAGAUGAUGUUUCAGUUGAGAUUCAGGCCUGGUUUGGGUGUGGAAACAGCCUUGAUUGCCAUGCCUGUGUUGGAUGAGGGACAGGGGAAUGUGAUUCUGUUGAGCCUCCUCAGUUUGUCAGCAGCUUUUGAUGCCAUCAGCUUUGGCAUCCUCCUGAGACAACCGUCGGGGGUACUGGGGCGCUGCAUUGCAGUAGUUCUGCUCCUACUUAGAUAGCCAGCUCCACAAGGCGGUUCUUGGGGAGCAUUGCUUGGCUCGAUGGGUACUCAGGCAUGGGGUCCCACAGGAGUUGGUUCUGUUCCCCAUGGUGUUUAACAUCUGCAUGAAGCCACUGAGUGGUUUAGAGUACAUUGUCAUCCAUACACUGAGGGCCCACAACUCUACUCCUUUCUCAUAUUCUGCAGGUAAGGCAGUGGAUGCCCUGAAUGCAUUCUUGGUUGUGAUAAUGAACUAGAUGAAGGCCAAUAAACAGAUGCUUAAUCCAGACAAGACAAGAUGCUGUUAGUGGGUGGCUCCUCUGACAGGAUGAGUGGUGUGUGGCCUGCUCUAGGUGGGGUCACACUGGCUCAAAAAAAAUUGUGGUUUGUUAAGGGUGCUGGGAAUUGUAGAUCUGUGAAGGAAAAACUGCAUUUCCCAGGUGUGUGCACAGCCCAUGUUGGACUGCAUCAGCCCCAGCCAUCCUGGCCAAUGGUCAGGGCUGAUGGGACUUUGGGUCACCCAGUGAAAAUGAUUUGCAGUUGGUUCAGGAUAAACAAAAGGAAGUAUAUAUUCAUAUGAUGCAUAAUUAACUUAUGAAAUUUACUGCUACAAGGUGUGGUGAUGGCAGCUAGCUCAGAUUGGGUAACUUUGUUGACCGCUAUUAACGAUGGCAGCUAAAUGGACCUUCCAUGUUGAGAGGAAGUGUACCUGGCUAAGAGGGGGGAAAUAUGGAGAAGGCUUCUUCUUCCUGCCCACCUUUCUAGUCUUCCAAGAGACAUUUUGCUGGCCCCUUGUUGGAGAUGGCAUGCUGGACUAUAGAGACUCUUGGCUAAUCCAUCAGGAGUCUUAUGUAUAUCAUGCUAUCAUUAAGCAUAAGAUUCUGGGAAAGGGAGUGAUUUCUUCAAUUUAUGACCUUUUAAAAAAUAAUAUAUUCAGCCAGUGUGUGAGAAGCCCCAACCAUUAAACCUGCAUGGAUGGAGGUAACUGUGGGCAGUAUCUUAUAUUGCCUACAUCAGCCUAGUGCCCUUCAGAUGUUCAGGACUACAGCUCCUGCAUUGCACAGGGUUGGACUAGAAAUAUCAGGGUUGCCAUAUUUUGAAGAGCAAAAAAGAGGACACAUUUGCCGAUUUCUAUUUUUAACUAUGGAUUGCUAUGAAGACUCUGACUUUACAUACCCAUGAAAAAGAGGACAUGUCCGGAAAAAGAGGGCAUAUGGCAACCCUUUUGCUCCUUUCCAACUCAACAGUUCUAUGAUUCCAUGAUCCUAUCAGCCCCCAAGCAGCACAUGGGACUGAUGGGAGUUGCAUUCCCAAACAUCUGGAGGGCACCAGGUUGAGAAAGGCAGCUUUAGAUGGAUGCACACAUAAACAGAGAGAGAGAUUAUGCCAAACAGAGAGAAGCUCUGGCCAUGCAACACUCUCUGGGGCAAGGGACCAUUCCCCCACUGCCCCAGCUCCUAAAAAUGGCCUUGCAGCGCUGCAGCUGUGCUCCCGGCCACCCUCCUUCCCCCCCAUCCCUUGCAGCACCCACCCUAAGCCACCUCUUGUUGCCUGCCUUGCCCUCCACCUCGCCUCUCCCCUUGUCCUUCCAACCCCCAGCCGCAUAUUCUUCCUUGGUGACAUCCCAACAAUGGGCAGAGAUGAGCCCUGAAAGGGGGAACUCAAGCGGAAGGCCGCUGCCCUCAGUACCAGCAAUGAAACCCUUUUCUCCCAGCGGGGUGAGGGGCUCUGUCUCGCUCUCCUCUCCCUUUUUAGUUGGGUGGGUGGGAGGUGGAGAGAGCUUUAUUCUCUGUCUCAUUCCCUUUACAAGGAACGACUGGGAGGAGGGGGGAGGGAGACACUCCCAAAAUGCCACACACAGGCAGACCCCCCCCCAUUUCAUCCUUCUUAGUCAGCUUGUUCUCAUUUCCCCACCUCACCUUUCUCUCCCCCCAAGUUCCCCCACCGCCCACCCCUUCCCUGACACAACACGGCUCUAAUUGCCGCCAGAGCCCCGGCAGAUUUGCCUCCUCCGCCGCAGACAGGCCUGCUUCAAAUCAGACUCAGUCAGGUGGCCAUUUGUCCGGUUCUGCAGAGGAGAGCUCUCCCUUAGAAGAACUGUCAGGAUUCUGUGGGCUUUACCUUACACACACACAGAUAAUUUUAUUUGUAUGCUGCCUCUCCAUAGUUCAAGGCAGCUUACAACGUGAAAAAUAAAUGCAUCACUACAAACAUAACAAAAGUAGUCCUAAACAGUAAAUGAAAAGCAUCAAAGAGUACGCAACCAAAUCAAACCAUUUCCACAUAAAUCAUAAAAAGGUAUAAAAUAAAGAUUAAUAUUAAUAACAGCAACAGCCCCCUCACAACAACUCCUUGAAACAAUUCCCUAAGCCUGUCUGCCUAUCUAUCAUCUAUCUAUCUGUCUACCCCCCCCCCCCAAUACUUCACUUUGCCUUUAGAAUGCUGUUCAUACACCAUCUUUGACAGUCUCUGGCAUUCAUGAAGCAUGCCACUUGGAAACUUUCAGUAUUAUCAGUCUAUAAAUUAUUGUAAAAUGUGAAGAAGUCAAUGUAAAAUCUGAAACGCUGUCUGGUUGAAGUCCAAUUUUAUUUUUUAAAAACAAACAAACAAACAAACAAAGCAUGACUAAGCCGCUUCUGGCGAACCAGAGCAGCGCACGGAAACACCGUUUAACCCACCGUUUAACCCACACCGCCAUUGUUAAAAAAACAAGCCAUAAAAAUGAUUAAAAGAAAAGAAAAAGAACAUGUUUGUGUGAAAGUUCUGAUGACCUGGGCAACCUUACAGAAUUAACGAGUUGUAGAGGAUACCCUCCAACAUCAAAAUAGGGACAUCCUAUUCAAUAAUAACAAAACAACAACAGUUUUAUUAUUUAUACCCCGCCCAUCUGACUGGGUUGCACCUGGCACUCUGGGCGGCUUUCAACAUAUAUAUAUAUAUAAAAUAAAUUAAAAACUUCCCUACACAGGGCUGCCUUCAGAUGUCUUCUAAAACCUGUAUCGUUACUUUCCUCCUUGGCUCAGGAGUCCCAUGACUUUAUAAACUCCAACAUUUCUCCAAUGAAAAUAGGGACGUCCUUAGAAAAAGCAGUGGGAUGCAGGUGGCGCUGUGGUGUAAAUCACAGAGCCUAGGGCUUGCCAAUCAGAAGGUCAGCGGUUCGAAUCCCUGUGACGGGGUGAGCUCCCAUUGCUUGGUCCCUGCUCCUGCCAACCUAGCAGUUCGAAAGCACGUCAAAGUGCAAGUAGAUAAAUAGGUACCACUCUGGCAGGAAGGUAAAUGGCGUUUCUAUGCGCUGCUCUGGUUUGCCAGAAGCGGCUCAGUCAUGCUGGCCACCUGACCCGGAAGCUGUACGCCGGCUCCCUCAGCCAAUAAAGUGAGAUGAGCGCCGCAACCCCAGAGUCGGCCACCACUGGACCUAAUGGUCAGGGGUCCCUUUACCUUUACCUAGAAAAAGCAGGACAUUCAGGGAUCAAAUCAGAAACAGGUACAGCUUCUGUAAAUCAAGGACUGUCCCUGGAAAAUAGGGACACUGGGAGGGUCUGGUAGAGUUGGAAAGAACUACAAGGGCCCCAACUCCCUGCAAUGCAGGACUCCAUUGUCCAAUGUGGGGCUCAAACUAAAGACCCUGAGAUCGUUAGUUCAGAAUCUCAUGCUCUACCACAGAGCUUUCCAAACUUUUCAUUGUGGUGACAGACUUUUACUGUGUCAUUUUGUGACACAGUAAUUCCAUUUUACUAGUAAACUGGAGGUUAAACUAACCUAUGGUUACCAGACGUCCCCGUUUCCCGGGGACAGUCCCCAGAUUUAGAAAUCUGUCCCCGGACAAAAUCUAUCCCCAGAAUGUCCCCGGAUUUCAUUUUAUGUCCCCGGAUUUAUAUUUUAAGUGUUGUAGAUUUAUUAAUAGGGAAUGAAUGUUGUGUGAUUGGUUCAACGGCUCAAGACACAUCAUAUGGGGAAUUCUGGCGAGGCAAAAUGGCAGGCGUCACAGCAGUGAGCAGCUCUUGAAGCCAGCCAGAGCCAAUUGUGCUACCAGGCUGGCUCUGGGUUGCUGAGGCUGCCGCUGCCACUUCCGAGGGGGAACCGGGGACACACACACACCCCCACCACGACCCAAAUAGAGCCGAGUGCGAGAGCGCCCGGCCGACUGCCCAGCGGCGCUCUGGGGCCAUGAAAACCCCAGAGCCGACACAGGUAGAGGGAGGAGAGGAGAAGAAGGAAGAAAGAGGAAAAGGAAGGAGAAAAAAGAGGAAAGAGGGGAGCCCCGACCUUGCUGUGCUGCCGCUGCCACCUUUGUCUCUGCUGAGGAGGAGAGGUAGGAGAGCAUCGGGAGGGCAAGGACACGUGGCCGAGCCCAGGCCCGACCCAAGCCUACUCCAUGGCAGCUAGCACUCCAAGAGAGCAGGCUGGGGCCCAGAGGAAGGCCACGUGACAGGAGACCACAGAAGAGAUUACUUGUUAAUUUUUUUAAAAAAUAAUAAUUUUUUUAAUAACUUUUUUUCUCUCUUUUCAAAAAAAAAAAGUGUCCCCAGAUUCUUUGAAAAAAAUCUGGUAGCCUUAAACUAACCCCUUUCCAGCCCCGGGAGGAGCGCAGGGAGCAUUCGCACGACACGCCUACACACUGCAGCUGACACACUGACGUGUCGCGACUCACAGUGUGGAAAGCUCUGCUCUACUGACUGAGCUAUCCCAGGCGUCACUGCUGGAGGAAUUCAGAGAAUAUCAACCUUUUUCCUCCCUGCCCCCUCAUUGUUUAUUUGGUUGCAUUCUUUUUAUCUUUUUGUUAACUUGGGUGUGACAGAGAGAGAACAUUAGAAAUUAAUAACAGACAGGCAUCCACAAAUCCACCUGCCAAUUGCACAGGGGCAAAUGCCCCUUGCCUACUGGUGAACAAGAGAACCACUGCCCCAAAGAUCCCACUGGAGUUUGAGAAAGUAAGAAGCAGUAGGAAUCUCUUCAGAGCUGCAGAGGUGGCACACACUGUUUCUUACCUUUGUGCCCCAGACAAAUAAGAAAAGAUCUGUCCUCUCUCCCAAGACCUCUGGGCAUGCCAGACAAUGCUGUGGAGUAGAUUGGUGGUGAUCAUAAAUAAUGCCACACCAACAUGGUGUGGACCUCUUGGGCAUAGAUAUAGAUGUUUACAUGUGUCUUUAAAAUGCAGCAUUGGUCAUCACUGUCAUUAUAUUCACAGCACAGCUAUCCCACUAUCCCAGGCCAUGUCUUUUACAGGUAGGCAGCUGAGGAUGAGGUAAAUUGUGAUAUGUAGGGUUGCCAAAGUUUUUCCUCUUAUGAUUUUUUUUCUGGUAGAGCUCCUGUGCCUUUAGCUGCUGUACAAAAUGCAUAACUUUGUGUUGUCAUGCAGCUGCUAAAGGCUUGGGAAUCCUGCCAGGGGGGAAAAUUGGCAACCAUCAUGACUUGCCCAGGGCCACCCAGCAAGUCUAUGAAAUGAGGAUUCAAGGAAAUGAGAUCAUCAUCAGUUUUCUGCCUGCACUGAGUAAAGUCAAUUGCAGAAGUGGGAAGUUUGAACCUGGGUCUACAGCUGCCUUGUACUGCUGUACUCUGCCUCGGCCAUGAAAGGGGAUCAGAAUGCAGGGCAGGCACCUGGUUACUUAAAGUCUGCUGUAAUUUCUGUAAGGAGACAGGCUGUGGCUAUGUGGUGGAGCAUCUAUGUUGCAUGCAGAAGUCCCAGGCUCAAUCCCCAGUUUCUGGGGAGGUCUGGGAAAGAUUGCUUGUCUGAAACCCUGGAGAGCCACUACCAGUCAGUGUGGACAAUACUGAGCUAGACGGAUCAAUGGUCUGACUUGGUAUGAGGUAGCUUCCCAUGUUUCCGUUAUCGUUUCUCACCCGGGGAUCAAAUGUUGUUAACUGCUUGAAGAGGAACUUGCUGCCCAGCACUGAACUCACAGGGCCUCAUCCGCAUGUCAAAUUAUUGUCUAUAAAGAACUUCAGCUCUGUUCUGGUUGCCUGCAACAAGAGCAGCAGAAAAGGCAACUGGACCAGUUUAUCCCUAACUUCUAGCACCAAAUCUCACAGGGGCAGUUUGCUCAUCCCAACCUGUCUACAAAAAAUAGCUAUACACUUGUACACAUGUAACAUUCAGUGAGUGUGCACAGUCGCUGAGCUGUACAAAUCAACAAGUGUACACUGUUUCAGAAGAAAAACACUUGUACAUGUACCUAUGUUCAGUGUGGCAUUUGAACAAGCCUUGUGUAGUACCUCAUACAGGGAGCCCUGAUGGACCAGGGAUGGUUGGGCAAGUAGGCCACCACCGAGGUGCAGUGCUCACAGAUUAUCUUAGCAUGUUUCAAGGUGCAGUGAAACCCUUCCACCAACCUAUUGGCCUCAGAAUGGAACAGCAACAUUAAUAAAAAUUGUAUUCUCAACAUUGGCCAAAUUAUGGCACAGUUCUGAGAUCAUGAAACUGAUCUGUAAAGUCUUGGAUAUUAAAACCAAUCCUGGAUGCAGAGGUUGGAAGAUAUCUAGAUAUUCAUUCUGAUUUGUUUGUUGGGCGGUAUUAUUAUUAUUAUUAUUAUUAUUAUUAUUUUAUAUGCUACCCAUCUGACUGGGUUACGCCAGCCACUCUGGGUGGCUUCCAACAAAUUAAAACACAAUACGACAUCAAACAAUAAAACAUCCCUGAACUGGGCUGCCUUCAGAUGUCAUCUAAAAGUCAGAUAGUUGUUUAUUUCCUUGACAUCUAAUGGGAGGACAUUCCACAGGGAGGGCGCCACUACCGAGAAGGCUCUCUGCCUGGUUCCCUGUAACCUCACUUCUCUCAGUAAGGGAACCGCCAGUAGGUCCAAGCUGAAUGAUGGGGGUGGAGACACUUCUUCAGGUAUACAGGGCCAAAUGAUCAUUUCUCUCGCAUUCAGUCUGAUUUGCUUCUGGUGUGUUUAUUAGCCAUUUGUUCAUCCCACACUUUUCAAUGCAUUUUCCCAUCAAUUUCCAAACUGGGAGUGGGGGUGGGAAUUUAAUUCUCUUUUUUCUGUUGUGCUAGGCUGACAAAGUUUUUUACUCCACUUUAAUUGUGCAAACCUAAAGUUCCAGCAUGUGGUACAAAGCACCUGACAGCCUGGAGACACCCUGUGUCUCCCUACUGAUGUUGAAGGUGCUAAGGAUGGCAUACUUUAUAUUCUGGUAAUUGCCACCAAUGGUAAGGUAUUCACAACUUCCUGGCUGGCACUGGUAUGGCGCUGUAUUAAAAUGGCAGCCCAGUCUGCAUAGCAGCCACCCAUUCAAGUUAAUUUAAGAAUGUUUGGGAUCCUCCACAGGUUUCAUCUUAAUAAUGCACAUGCAAAGGGAUGCCUGGUCACAAGGUGUACCACUCGCAUCUCCACUCUUUGCCCAUCCCUUGAAUACAGAACCAAGGUUCUUAAAAAACAACAACCCAGCAACAAAGCCUUGGAUAUGUAUGUCAUCUGAGGACCUGUCCACACUUUUGCUUGACCCACACUUUCUAGGCAUGGGUCAGAGCGGUUUUUCCCUUGCCCCACUCCUUUCUCAGGGAAAACUGCUCUUUAGCUCUAAAUCAGAGCAAAUGUCAAUCUGGAGAAAACCCAUCUCACCCUUUGCUCCAGUUAAGAGCUAAAGAGUGGCUUUCCCUGGGGAAGGCAGCAGGACAAGAAGUGUGGAUGAGCCCUGAACCUGAGCUUGUUGCCAUGUAGGAAAAAAGUCUCCAACUGCUGCUGCUGGGAAGUUAACUGUGGUACGAGCAUUUUAGCUCUUGCUGCUGCAUGCACUACCAACCUCCCCAGGCAUGCCUCUGCGUUCUGUGACAUCUUGGGGUGGACCCCUGGGAACACAGACCAUGUUUUCACUUGCCCUUUGAUUGAGACCAGCUUCCCCAUCUCCAUGUUCUGCCCAGAGCACAGGAUCAAGGAACAGCUUGCACACAUUUAUUGACAAAGCAACACAGAGUGUUGCAAUACGUUAUAAAGAUGAACACGUUUAUUGUGCCAUAUGCCUUUGUGGAUGACACUGCACUUCAGACUUGUGAAGUUUUGUGUUCUAUUGUAUAUACACAUUGUGUGGAACCAGGGGUGGGCAACCUGUGCCAAGAAGCUGUGUACAGCCCUCCACACAAGUUCAUGUAGGUGGGGCAGGGGAGAGCAGAGAAGUCAAAAGAGAUGGAGUCGUGAAAGGAAAGACCACUAUAAGCAGUCACUUCAGACUGCUGGCAAAAACACUUUGUCCCUUCCUCUGCAGCCCAAUGGGCAGAAAAAGGGCUGGGGUGUGUGUGUAAAGAGUCGGCAGAGAGAAAAAAUUGUGUUCCUGGCCAGCGUUGGAUCUAGGGAGCAAGAGAGAGCCCUCCGGUGACAUUUAUGGUCCUGUGAGGGCGAGAGGACGAUCAAGGCCUGCAGUUAGUUGGGCUACAAAUGAUACCUUCCUUCUCACUGGCCAACCUCAGCCUCAGCUCUACACUUGAGCCAGCCUGUCUGCCUUUGAUGGCCCCAGAAGUGGAGAGGUUAUCCACAAUACAGUCUUGCUGUGGAUGAAAUCAGAACCAGAGGCAGGGAAACCCUGUUACCUCUUUAUCAGAUCUCAACAGGGUCUGGCGGAAAGAAGUAAGAACUGGGGUGGGUGGGUGUCUGUGUGUCUUACAUAUUUUUAGCCACGUUCUCUAAAUAACAAAUUGAUCUUCAAAAUAAUGCAAGGGCUUCUUUUGUCAUCUUAGCUAAGUGGUUAGAGUGGUUUCUAGGGCUAGGGUCUGACAUGGAGUAGAACAGGGGUCAGCAAACUUUUUCAGCAGGGGGCCGGUCCACUGUCUCUCAGACCUUGCGGGGGGCCGGACUAUAUUUUUUUGGGGGGGAUGAACGAAUUCCUAUGCCCCACAAAUAACCCAGAGAUGCAUUUUAAAUAAAAGGACAGAUUCUACUCAUGUAAAAACACGCUGAUUCCCGGACCGUCCACGGGCCGGAUUGAGAAGGCGAUUGGGCCGGAUCCAGCCCCUGGGCCUUAGUUUGCCUAUCCAUGGAGUAGAAGGCAAGGGGAAAUCUUUGGCUGGGUUUAUUGGUUUUAUAGCUCAAUCCUUUCUUUUUCACCACAGCCAUUUAACACCAACUCCUCCCUUCUUUGCCAGUUGUCACGCACUCCAAAUUAAGACCAAGGUUUGUUCUUCAGGAUAGAGGGUAGGCAUGAGCCCUAGCCAGGCUUUUUAGAAAUUAAGCACAGGCCCUUCCACCUUAUCUGUCCUGUCCUUCCUGCAACCCCCCAUGGCUUUAUUCUGAGAAUGCAUAAUAGUUAUCCUACUUUGUGGCCUGAUGCCCUGAAGAGUCAAUAAAUGAUAUAGUCCAGAGUUGAAGAACUUUUUACAGCCCAAGGACCCCAUUCAUCCAUGGGCAACUUUCUCGGGGCCACAUGCAAGUGGUGGGGGAAGCCAGAGCCAAAAGUGGGUGGAGCAACAGGUGUGAUUCUUACCUUUGCACAGUAGGAUAUAUUGCAACCUCACAAGUCAGAGGUGUCUGCACUUGCCCCACAUGAGUACCUCUCAGUUCUGGCAAGAAAGAGGCAUCAGGGCAGUUCUGUUGGUCCAGGUCCAGGGAGAGGUGUGGCCUAAGAGCCUAGAGGGUCCUGGCAUUUGGCCCCCAGACUUGAGGUUCCCCAUCCCUGAUAUAGUGGCAUAGUUACUCUCAGAUUUACUCUCAGAGUGCACGUCUUAAAAUUUUGCAUUACAUUUGACCAUUUUGCGCUGCGUUCUGUUCUCAGCCCCCACAUAUUGGCAAAGCGUGCAUAAGCGCCCCCUGUCCUGGCAAUCACACACCGAAUGGACGCAAAGAAAACCAGCAUGAGGGGUUUUUGAAUAAAAUGUUAGUCGACUUUAAGAGUAAUUCACUAAUCUGAGCAAGCUAUGUAAAUAGGAGCCUUCAAAAGUUAAUAUUAAGGAUUUUCAAAAUCUAAGAAUUGGGAAGCGUAGCUGCUCACAUUUAUCUCUGUGUUGCAGACAUUUUGCCUUUUUUAUGUGUUGUAUGCAACAGGCUAUGACUACAAGCAUUAAAUACUUUUUGUCACCAAGAAUGUGGUCCAAAAAUGUAUUUGAAAUUUUGUAAAGUUAGGAACUAUACUCCUUUGCUUUUCCCAUUGGUCAGACUACAGAAGCUGUGGCUUAGAGCUCUGUGAUUUGCAAAGUAGGGACAAAUUCAAGAGUCAUCCUCUAGAACCCCUCUGUGACAUAUCAAGGGAUCCUGGGCUGUGUAUGUUUUACCUUGGGUGGGUAGAGUUGGUGUGGUUAAAAUAAAAUACUGAAAGCUAGUUUAAACCAGGUGAUCAGACUAUUAUUGCAUCUAGUCCAGGACUGUCAGCUUUGACUGGCAGUGGCUGUCUGGGACUCCAGGCAGAAAAAGGCCUUUCCCAUCACCUGGUGUCUGAUCUGUGUUUUAACUGAAGAUGCCAGGCACUGAAACUGAGACCUUCUGCAUGCAGUGCAGCUGCUGUGCUACUUGGCCCCGUCUGUGUCAUACAUUUAAAGCAGUAUCAUACCACUUUAAGUAGUCAUGGCUUCGCCCAAAGAAUCCUGGGAAGUGUAGUUUGUUAAGGCAGCUGACAGUCAUCAGGAGACACUCCCCCCCCCCCCAUUCCUUGUAGAGUUACAGAUUCCAGAGUUCCAUGGGAGGAUGGUUCAGCUGUUUAAACCACUCCAGGAACUGUAGCAAUGAGAGGAAUAUUUUAUUAAAUUUAUAUACCGCCCUUCAUCUAAGGAUCACAGGGCAGAUUACAGUAUAAAAACACAACAGGAAUAGGACCCCCUAACACCUCUUGGCACCCUCAGUGAACUACAGAUUCCAGGAUUCUAUUUUUUUUUGGGGGGGGGGGGGAGAGAUGACUGUUUAAAGUGGUAUGAUACUGCAUUAAAUGUAAAGUGCAGAUGGGGCAAACAUUAUUGUCCUUCCUCAAAGUGGCUAAGAGACUGACAUUUGUAGCCAGCCUUUGUCCUACUCAGAGUAGACCCACUGGGUUGCAUUCAUGGUCAGUCCACUGCUGUUACUGGGCAUAGCUAAUUUAGGCUUAUUAAUUUCAAUAUGUCUAUUCUACUAUUCAUUGAAUACAACCUAUUGAAAUCAAUGAACUUAUUAGUCAUGUCCAUUAACACAAAUGGGUCUACUCUGAGCAGGACUAAAACUGUAAACUACCCAUUGAAAGACUGUGUCCGUUAAUUCAGUAGGUCUACUCUAUGAGUGGAUAUAAACCUGAGCCCCAGUUGAGGAAGUUCCUAGUUAGAAUCUCACCACUGCCAUGAAUUCACCAGGUGGCCUAAGUCUCUCAGGCUCCCAUUUGCAAUAUGGGGAUAACACUGACCUGCCUUACAGGGUUGUUGGAAUAUGUGUGAAACACUUUAGAGCUCUCAAAAGCACUUCAUACAUAUGGUUGAUAUUUUUUUGGUGUAGUUGUUUGGUAUAACGAAAGGAUUUUUAGUCACCAACACCCAGCCUUCUUUUGCCCCGAAAGCCUUUCCACCUUUUCAGUCAUCUGGCUGUGGGGCAGAUUGCCUGGUGGUUCAUCAAACCACACUGCACAUGUUCAAAGGCAAAGGCACUCUGUUUUGUACAUGUCCCAGGGCUGGUUCAAAGAAUACAGUUCUGAAGUUCUAAGAAGUCCAGGGCCGGUUCUGUCAUUAGGCCAACUAGGCAGCCUCUGAGGGCACAGACCUCGGAGCGGCCAGUGGCGUAGCGUGGUGGGUGCAUGGGGGCCGGCCGCACCGGGCGCAACAUCUGGGGGGGGGGCGCGCUCGCACUCGCAGCUCUCUGCCCCUACCUGGCUCACUCACUCUCUCUCACUACAGUGCUGGCUGUGCGAAUCCGAUCCGAGCCGCUGGGUCGCCGCCCACUGUGGAGGGGGUGGGUGCCAGGCGUGCGGUGCGGAGAGAGAGCGAGGGACUAUCUGGGGGAGGGACAGUGCAGCGGCCGCCCAGCGCAGCGCUGAGCGCGAGAGAGAACCACACCAGACCAGACCAGGCAGCAGCAAGAAGAAGCUGGCAGCGGCGGCAGGUUAGGGGUUAGGGGGCGCAAAUUACUUGCCUUGCCCCGGGUUAGGGGGCGCAAAUUACUUGCCUUGCCCCGGGUGCUGACAACCCACGCUACGCCGCUGGGAGCGGCCCAGUACUGACCUUUGAGGGGCAGUUUUACAGUACAGUGGUACCUCGGGUUACAGAUGCUUCACGUUACAGAUGCUUGAGGUUACAGACUCCGCUAACCCAGAAAUAUUACCUCGGGUUAAGAACUUCACCUCAGGGUGAGAUCAGGAUGCUGCGUGGUGGAGGCAGCAGCAGGAAGCCCCAUUAGCUAAAGUGGUACCUCAGGAUAAGAACAGUUUCAGGUUAAGAAUGGACCUCCAGAACGAAUUAAGUUCUUAACCCGAGGUACCACUGUAUACAGAUUAGUUUUCUCUUGCAUUUGAGAAAGAUGAUCAAAGACUGCAGUAUUACUUAAACUUGCAAAUGAAAACAAACCUAGCAGUUUGAAGUUUCGCGCUUUUCAUUUUUUCUGCAAGACAAGACAUCUAUUUUGAAAACCAAAGUCCCAUUUUUGUUGGGACUGGGGGUACUUGCCCCAGGCGCAAAAUAGCCCGACACCCACAUAAUACUUGAGAGAGGGUGGGAGCUAGAGACCCGGAGCUAGGGACCUGGGAGUGAAGUGGAGGUCGUCUCCGCGGUGGUCCUGCCUUUUGCAAAACCUCUUCUCGCCUUCUGGUGCGUUUGCGCAACAGGCGUGUGUCCAGCGCGUCGGCUUCUUGCCGGGGGAACGAUCCGCGCUCCCCGGGCAUCCCCUUCCCCCUUCCUGCCUCCUCUCCCUCCCGCAUGCCAAGGGAGCCUUUUGGAAAUUGGCGCGGAGCGGGCGCGCUUCUCCUCCUCUCUCUCCAGCGAAGCCGCCGCGCGGCGGGAGGAGCAGAGCUGUCUAUAAGAUCUGCCAUUAUCGGCUCCCAAGUCAUAACAAAUGCGCCGAGAACACCCACCUCGCGGGGAAGGGCCUCGGCUGGCGGGGAAGGCCGGAGCGCGGAUCCAGUGGACGGGGAGCAGAGUUUUCUCCGCGCCUUCUCUCCUUCCACCGGGCGGCGGCUGAGUGCGCAGCGCAGCCCGCAGCUCCUGGGUUCAGCGCGCCCCUUCGACGGGCAAGUCCGCGGUUCUUCCUCCGGGAUUAACUGAAAUUGGGAGCUGAAGGUGGAGAUGAGAAAGAGGCACCGCUCAAUCCGGCCCCUUUCUGCCAUUUUUGGCACUCAAAAUCUCUCACUCGCCCCACUUUCCUCUCUGCAGAAGAAGCAUAGAGUUGGAAGGGACCCCAAGGGUCAUCUAGUCCAACCCCCUGCAUCAGGGGUGACAACUUGAAUAAAAUAUUGGGGGCCCAGGUAAGCCCCACCCCACAUAAUCAAUCACACGGCACGAUGCCUGCAUACUAUUUGAAUGGCAAUACCAAUCAGCAAUACCCAUCAGCAAUACCCAUCAGCUAGGGGACGCGGGUGGCGCUGUGGGUUAAACCACAGAGCCUAGGACUUGCCGAUCAGAAGGUCGGCGGUUUGAAUCCCUGCGGCGGGGUGAGCUCCCGUUGCUCGGUCCCUGCUCCUGCCAACCUAGCAGUUUGAAAGCACGUCAAAGUGCAAGUAGAUAAAUAGGUACCACUCCGGUGGGAAGGUAAAUGGCGUUUCCGUGCGCUGCUCUGGUUCGCCAGAAGCGGCUUAGUCAUGCUGGCCACAUGACCCGGAAGCUGUAUGGCGGCUCCCUCGGCCAAUAAAGCGAGAUGAGCGCCGCAACCCCAGAGUCAGUCACAACUGGACCUAAUGAUCAGGGGUACCUUUACCUUUACCCAUCAACUGGGGGGGGGGGGGCUUCACUACCUGUAAUAUUUUAUUAGGGGGUCCAUGAGCAUAGCCAGGAUUUUUUGUUAAGGAGGCAGGACUUUGGGGGGGGGCGGCCAAACCAACGUGAUUGGUCAAUUAGUUGAGUAUUUCUAUUGUUUUACUUGAUCUGCCCCCCCUUGGCUACGCCCAUGAUGUGGGCCAAAGCCCCUUCGGCCCCUAGGAGUUGGCUCCUGUGCCUGCAAUGCAGGAAUUUCAGCAUGCUGUCUCCCAUCCAACUUGAAAAGAUACUGCACCCUGCUAAUAAUACAGUGGUACCUCGGGUUACAGAUGCUUCAGGUUACAGACUCCGCUAACCCAGAAAUAUUACCUCGGGUUAAGAACUUUGCUUCAAGAUGAGAACAGAAGUCUCUCGGCGGCGGCACAAGGCCCCAUUAGCUAAAGUGGUACCUCAAGUUAAGAACAGUUUCAGGUUAAGAACGGACCUCCAGAACGAAUUACCGGUAAGUUAUUAACCCGAGAUACCACUGUAAUUAUUAUUAUUAUUAUUAUUAAUUAUUAUUUAUACCCCGUCCAUCUGGCUGGGUUUCCCCAGCCACUGUGGGCGGCUUCUAACUGAAUAUUAAAAACAAUACAGCAAAAAACAUUAAAAACUUCCCUAAACAGGGCUACCUUCAGUUGUUUUUGUUUUAACUGCUGCACCACUAGGAGAAAAGUGUGAUCAUGGUGACACUUGCCGCUUAACCUAAACACUGUUAAUGGAAUUACCGCACAGCAGGUCUCUCUCUCUCUCUUUCAUGCUCCAGCACUUUAAGAACAUAUCAGAAUAAGAGCCAGGCUGGAUCAGGCCAAUGGCCCAGCUAGUCUAGCAUCCCGUUCCUAUUAAAAUCUGGUUUAUAUGAGUCAGAGUUUAACCCGGAAACCUGUCUGCUGGCACUCAGUCUUAGAAGAUGGAAAUGUUGUUGUCUUGUUUUGUUUUAAAAAGAAAGUGUCCCUUUGAGCAUGUGCAGAAGGUGUGUGACCACAGCAGCACUACCACACUCAGCCACUGUUGGAGAUUUUUGCAUCUUCUGUACAGGCGUGAGACGCAGCAUCUCUCAUUUUAGAAAUUAAAUGCCUAGCGUAGCAAGGAUUUUACUGGUUUUUUUUAAAUAAAAAAAUACAGCUAUAGAUAUUAUGGAAAUUGCCAUUUAACAGCCUCUUAUAACACUGGUAACUAUCUGGGAGUGACUAAUGAUUCAUUGUGGAAAAAUUAAUUUCUUUUUUAAAAAAAUAAACCCAGUGAUUUUCUAGGAGAAUACCAUCAGCAGAAGGCACUCAGGCAUGACAUAUCCUCCCCUAUUAAUUGACCCCCCCCAAAAAACCCCAGUUCCUCCAGUGAUCUGGAGGGAGGUGGAAUAUGUGUUUCCUUGUGAGGCAGGUUUCAAGUAUACAUGGCUGACCCAUGGCUGACCUCACCAGUUUUGUGUUUUAAGUCUGUGUCCAUGCAUCUGCACUGUGGCAUGUCAUGUGUCCACAUGUGGACAUGUCUAUAUGAGUCAACAGACUGCUGUAUUCCCACUUAUUUUGUGCACCUGGAUGGAGUAAUUUCAGUGGUACUUUUGCACAGGUUGGCACAUAACUGUUGCUUAAGUGUGUGAGAAGGAAGAGCCUUGUACACAAGGCAGUUUACAAGGUGUGCGAAACCUGUGGCCUUCCACAUAUUUCUCUAACUCCCAUCAGCUCUAGUCAGCAUGGCCAAUGGUCAGGGAUGAUGGGAGUUAGAGUUUAACAUCUGGAGGGCCAGCAGUCCCCAACUCUGACCCCAUCUGGCUUCUCUCAAAGAAUCCUUUGAACUGUAGUUUGUUAAUGCUGCUGAGAACUGAGACCCCAAUUCCCCUCACAGAACUCCAUGGGAAGAGGAAUUGAUUAUUAAACACCUCCAGGAAUUGUAGCUCCAUGAGGGGCAUAGGAAUUUGAUAACAACUCUCAGCACCCUAAGCAAACUACAGUUCCCAAUAUUCUUUGGGGGAAGCUGUGACUGUUUAAAGUGGUAUGAUAUUCCUUUAUAUGCAUAAGUGUAGACUGGUCCCCUUACAGCACUGAACUAUGAUGGGUGGGCAGGAUACUGGAUGUUGGUCUUAAUAGUCCUGCCUCACCUUCUUAUCACCUCUUUAAAGAAACGGACAGUUUAACUCAAGUAUAGGAUCAUUUAUUGUGUAAUUUCUAACCCCCUCCUGGUCCAGGAGGAUCUCUGAGGUGGUUUACACGAAAUACCAUUAAACUGUCUAAACUAGUAAAAUGUGUAAUUAAAAACCACCUACAUAUUUCCUCCCUCUUUUCGAAAAGAGGGAGGAUCCAUCCCUGCCUUGAAGCAGCUUGCUCUCCAGAACCACUGCUUGUGUUUCAACUUCUCUCUUUCAAAUGAGAGCUCCCCAGAGAGAGAAAAAACCUGGCUGUUGUGCAUAUUUACUAAAGAUCAUGGAGGAUGUGCAUGUGCAUAUUACUCAAGGAUGGAGACAAAAUUGUGCAGAUGUCUUUCUGGGAAACCUUGGGCACAAUAGUUUCCAGGACUUGUUAUAACAAAGCUUCCAUUUCCUUCCCCUUCCUCUGCCUCUUCUCACUUGUAAAGUUUCUUUAGAUUGUAAGCCCUUUGGGGCAGGGACCUAGGACUUCUUUGUUGUAAUGGGCUAGGCAACUGUAUGUUUAUGUACAUUGACCAAUUAACAUGCAAGGCAUCCACAUGAAGAAUACCCACCUUAACUCACAUGGACAGCACACAUGCAGAAGAACUAGGAUGUCUGUUCCUCCUUCCCAUCCCCUGUGGAGCAACCCAGUCCUUGUGAGUUAAGGGAGACUCCAAACUGUGUACAGCACAAAACCCCAUCAGUGUGCACAUUUGCUAGACAUAAGAUGUACAAAUGAACAGAAUGGGAUUUUGCCUGGCCAAGAAGCAUAGGUGGCAAAAACAUGCAUGUUCAUUGGUCAAAUUGGCCCAAUUUGUUUUUAAACACCACUCAUUAUUUUACGAAUAUAUAACAACACACUGUAUUGUUCAUACAUAUAUAGAAUCUGAACAUUUCAGGAGUGGAGUUGCACCAGUGGUGAGAGUGAGCAGGUGGUACAUUCAGGAACCAAGCCCAUUGACUUUGGGCACCUCUGGUUUGGAGUUAAAAUUUUAUUACAUUACAGGGGAAUAAUAUGGAUCUCCCAAAUAGCUGUGUCCAUAUUUGGGGAGGGGAGGACUGGGGAAAGGGAUCUGGAGAGAACAUGGUCAAUAUACGAUAUGACUGGGUUGCUCCACAGGGGAUGUGGAGGAGCAGAAAUCCUAGUUCUUUUGCGUGUGUGCCAUAACCUAUGGCCAUAGAACCUCUUUAUAUUUUUAAAAAGGAUGUGUAAGCAGUUUGCAUCAUAAUGGGGUUAGGCAAAACAUUCUGAACCACAACAAAAGGCAGUAGCAUCUGCAGCAACACCAAACAGAAAUGUAGUGUAGCAAAGGGAUGUUAAAAGUUUAAACCUGCCUCCAGAAGGGAUGGGGCCAGGUACAAAGUGCUCCCAACUCCAGAGUGACAAUCAAAAGUACCCUGUUUCUUGUCGAUGUGGCUGCCAGAUGUGAAGUAGGGCCUCCUCAGGUGACAUGAGAAAAUAAGAAGAGCGCUGCUGGAUCUGACCAAUGGCCCACUCAGUUCCACACCCCUUACUCAAAGUGGCCAUCCUGAUGCCUAUGCAAAACUAAUAAGCAGCAGGACAACUCUCCCCACUUGUGACUCCAAGCAGCUGGCAUUCAAGGUAUUUUGCCCCUGACGGUUGAAGCAGAAGAACUUGGCCUACCUUAAACUGCAGAGAGGUUGGCCUGGACCAGCCACUGUGGUAACUCUUGAUUGCCACCUUCACCCCCACCUAGGCAUUUAUAAUGUUAAUGUCAUUCUAUAAAAUCAGAAUUCUGAAGCAUUGGGGUUGCUAAACCAGUGAUUAGAGUGACACUUCUUGCAGGGAGCGUUUAGUGAGGGUGUGUCUAACCACACCCAAAAAGCCACAACCAUCUUGUGGUGUGAGCACUUGCAUGUAAACAUAAACAUGUGCGUGUCUGUAUGUGAAAGGGAGAAAUUUCCUAUCCAGUAUGAGUUUCCAGAAACGCAUAGGUUGGAGUUUUUUUAGCCCCAUCUCACAUUUAUGUGUGAAUAUCUGUACAUCAGAACAUGAGGAAAUAGAACUAAGUGAUGUUUCUUCCAUCAUGGAACCCAAAGUGGUUCCUCAGAGGUCACUCACUCACCUGUUUAACUUCACCUCAUGCGCCUUCAGAACAGCCGCUGGGCUCAUUUCAGUUAUCUAUGUGCUUUGAUCUCUAGAACAGCAACAAACAGCUUAUUAAGUGGUGUGCUGAGAACCUGAGCAUUUUUCAAGUGGGCUGGGAAAAAUAUAAGUUUGAGACUAGCUGUCUUAAGAGGAACCUGUUCCUGGAGGAAGGUGUACUAAACAAAUGACACAGAACAGUCAUUGGAAUGCAUUGGUGUCUUUCGAAUGACUGUAGGAAUGCAUUGAAUUUCCAAACUGUAGUAGAUUCCCCUUGGAGCUUGGGGGUGGCAUCUGGAGGAGUUAUCCUGCCUAGGUGCAAUAUUUUGAGUCAAUAUAUUUUGAAUUAUGCUGACUUUGCAUGCUUAGACAAAUUGCAAGGCAUUUGAGAAAGGGGAUGUUAGACCUUCUAAACCCUUCCCGCCCACCAAACCAGCUAGCAGAUCUCUGUUUCAACUCAUUGUCACAACAUUGUACCUGAUGUCUGGGCAGGGGGGAGAGCUGCCUACCCCUGUACAACUGCCAAAGGUUUCAGAAGCUAAGGCCAAACUAAAUGUGACAUUAAUUGCGUGGUUGCUAUUAAAGUGCCUACUUCUAAAAAAUUAAAUACUGUAGCAACUGCAGGGGAGGCAGAUAAGGAAUGAGAUUGCAAAGGACCAAAAACCAGUGUGGCAUAAUGGUUAGAGCAGGAGUCAGCAAACAUUUUCAGCAGGGGGCCGGUCCACUUUAGACUUGGGGGAGGGCAGACUAGAUUUUGGGGUGAGAAAUGAAUGAAUUCCUUUGCCCCACACAUAACACAGAGAUGCAUUUUAAAUAAAUACAUAUAUUCUACUCAUGUAAAAACACGCUGAUUCCCGGACCGUCCGCGGGCCAGAUUGAGAAGGCGAUUGGGCCGGAUCUGGCCCCCGGGCCUUAGUUUGCCUACCCAUGGGUUAGAGUGUUGGACUUAGGACCUGGGCAAGCAGGAUUUGAAUCCCCGCUCAGCCAUGAAGUUCACUGGGUGGCGACCUUGGCCCAGUCACCCUCUCUUAGCCUAACCUUCCUCACAGACGAUGAAAUGGGUAGGAGGGGAACCAUGUACACCACCUUGAGAUCCUUGGAAGAUAAAAGGUGGUAUAUAAAUGUAAUAAAUAAAUAAAAAUAAAUGCAAUGGGAGGGAUGGGAAGCCUUCUUCAGUCUGAGAGCCUGAUUCUCUCAUGCGCAAUCUUUUGGCAGGCAGGGGGCAGGUGUUGCCUGCCAGUGGUAGGUGAGGCCAGAGUGGACAGAACCAGAGGCACAAGUGCUUGUCUUUGUAAAAUAGGCUACUUUCCAGCCACACAAAAUACAGGUUUUUUCACACUCUGUGGGUUAAAUCACAGAGCCUAGGACUUGCCGAUCAGAAGGUUGGCGGUUCAAAUCCCCGCAACGGGGUGAGCUCCCGUUGCUCGGUCCCUGCUCCUGCCCACCUAGCAGUUCAAAGCACGUCAGAGUGCAAGUAGAUAAAUAGGUACCACUCAGGCGGGAAGGUAAACGGUGUUUCCAUGUGCUGCUCUGGUUCGCCAGAAGUGGCUUAGUCCUGCUGGCCACAUGACCCGGAAGCUGUACGCCGGCUCCCUUGGCUAAUAAAGUGAGAUGAGCGCCACAACCCCAGAGUCGGCCAUGACUGGACCUAACGGUCAGGGGUCCCUUUACCUUUUUUACACACACAUACACACCCCUCUUCCUCCAUCCAAGAGACAUUGUCACAGUCCAAGGACAUAGUCCAACUAGGCAAAAGCACUGUGGCACAUUGUACAGUUAGGCAUCGCUUUCUGAUAAUCCCAAGAGCCUAACAAAUAGGCAUUAGGCCCAUGGGCCUGAGGCUUCCCCACCCACAGUAUGUGAAGAGAAAGGCUUCACUCCCCCCCCCCCCCAUGAAAAAUCUUGAUGUAAAUCCUCAGACACACUCUCAAGCUGCUGUGUGCCUUGGAAGGAAAGCAUCUGUUUGACACAAGGCAAGCCAGCGGGACGCCAACGUGGCCAAGAAGUGCCUUGGGUAUGGUUUCCUCAGGUAUCGCCAAAGGAUGCUGACCCUUUGUGGAAGCAUUUGGACCAAGAAAUGGUUGUAACUGCAUAAGAGCAGUUAGCAAUAGCAUUGAAAUUUCCCUUUGUGUGUGUGUGUGAGAGAUUCCUGGUUAAACCACUGGCGGAACUCGUCAGCAAAAGGUGGAAACUGAAGGCAUCUGCAGUGAAAGAAACUGGCGGAGACUUCUCACUAAGGCUGUGUUAUCCUGCGCACACUCACUUCGCAAUGAACCCCAUUAAAGUAAGUAAAACAGGUACUGAACAUUUAAAGCUUCUGUGAACCACCCUGAGACCUCUGGGUAUAGGGUGGUAUAUAUGUUCAAUAAAUAAUAAUAAAAUAAUAAAAAUAGGCCAUCUUAGAAGCUCAGAGUGGCGGCGGCAGUGCCCUGGAAGAGGGCAUUAUCUGUGGCACUCCUUCCCUGCAGAGGUGCAAUAGGCACCUUCAUUGUACAGCUUUCGGAGAAUGCUUGAAGACGCACCUCUACCCUGGCUUUUGACACUUCAGGUGUAUGUGCUCACCUUAUUUCUCUUAUUGUAAGUUGUUUUAAGCAGUUUUCAAUGUUGCAACCUGCCCUUUAGGACCUUAGGGUGUUAUUAAAAUAGAACUUAGGGUGAAGGGCGGGUAAUUAACAACAAUUACAAUUAAAAACUUUCCUCGCAGGGUUGUAGGGAAUAUAAAAUGGACAGGGGUUAGCCAUGUAUGCUAGCCUGAGAUCCUUGGGAUAAAAAUGUAAUUACAGUCAUAUAUUUUUCUCUCAAACGUUAAGUGCCAUUUGGACUAUUGGGGCCAAACUGCAUAUUAUAAUAGGAUCUGCUGGGCUUUCGAAAAAUGGAAAUGGAGCUAUGGGUACUUCCUGAUAUCUUUAGAACAGCAAUAGAGAGGAGACACCAUUUUUCCACUCAAGAUGGCCCUUCAAGUCACUUUUUGCCUUGCAAAGAGCAGAGGUGGGGCAAGGAGUAAAGAUACCGCAAGGCAUUAUGAAUCUUUCACCUUGACGUGGUAUGGUGUUGGCUCCCUCUGCUGGAAUCCAGAAUAUAUUGUUGGCUGUUAAGAAACAGCAAAUGGUUUGCAAACAUUUAAAGCAGUGAUGAUCGAGUUUGCUACUUUAAACAGUCAUGUCUUCUUCCAAAGUAUCCUGGGAACUGUAGUUUGUUACAGGAGCAGAUAGUUGUUAACCCCUUUCCUCUCAUAGAGCCUACAAUUCCCAGAAUUCCCUGUUAAGAUGGAUUGAUUGUUAAACCACUCUGGGAAUUGCAGCUCGUGUUAACUCUCAGCAGCUGUAACAAACUACAGUUCCCAGGAUUUUGGAGGGGGAGCCAUGACUGUUAAAGUGGUAUGACAUGUCUUAAAAGGCACAGUGUAGAUGGAGGCUUAAUAACAUGCAAAAUUCUCUAUGACAGUCCACAAAAGCAAUCCCCUAAACCCACUGGCAGAGGAAGAGGAAUGCUAGGGGAGCGCACCACCCCCAGCAGCGCGAUCCUGGCAGGGUUCCAGCGUGGCUGCCCACCCCCACCCGUCUGCACAGGGCGACCCGCCCCCAGGAUGCGCGCCACUCCCUUCUGGGUGGCAUGCCACACCCCCAGGAUGCGCCCCCCGCCUGCUCUCUGCCCCCUGGUGCCGGAGCAUGAAGCUCCACCACUGCCUAAACCAGGGGUUAGCAAAAACAUUUAGCCGCAGGCCAGUCCACUGUCCCUCAGCCCUUGUGGCGGGCCGGAGAAGGGGCACAGGGUGAAGAGCUGGAAGAAGAGGCAAGGGGGCCAGGCACUGCGCUUGCCUUCCCAGGGGUGUGAUCCGUAGCGCAUUUCAUCUCAGUGGGCUUGAGCAGUUCUUCAGGCACUGAACAAACAGCCUUGAAAUGAUUGCGGCUUACUUGUGAGUAAGCGUGUCUUUAGGGCUCUUUGCGACUGUGCAUCCAACGGCAGAGCAGGGUGCGGCUACUCGCUGAGACUGGCGGUCUCUUGGCGGUGCAGGUGGAAGCUGGCGGGGAAGGGAAAGCGGACUUCUGUGGUUUUUUUUAAAAAAAAUAUUUAUUAAAGUUUCAACAUAUUACAAAAAUAAGAGAUAAAAGAAAGAAAAAAAAGAAAAAAUGAAAAUACAAGGUAAAAACAGUUAAAAACAGAUCAGUCUUUCCAUAUCUUAUCUUUCAUUUGCUUGUUUCCCUGACCUCCUCACACCUCCCUUUUUUGUAUUCCAGUUCAAUUAGUUAAUUCAGCAAAUCCUUUCCCUCUUUGAUUUUAUCUUAAUCUUUUAUCUUAAUAUAUUAUAACUUUAGAUUAUCACCUGUUAACAAUCCAUUUUUACAUAUUCCUUUAUAACAUUGCUGCUAAAAACCACUUAACUUCAAUCCAACAGCAUUCUAACAUUCAUUAAUUUUGCAGUAUUUCUGUAGAUAGUCUUUAAAUUUCUUCCAAUCUUCUUCCACCGACUCUUCUCCCUGGUCUCGGAUUCUGCCAGUGGGAAAGCGGACUUCUGGAGGUGGCGAGGCGGGAGGAGCCAGAGCUGGCGGUGGGAGCUGCCUUGCCUCCUUGUGACGGGAGGAAGAGGCCGAGCGGCGGUGGGUCUGCCAAUCAGAUGUCGCACCUGGUUUACUUCAGCGCGGCGCGGGGACGUCUCUGCCAAUCAAACCCCGCUGAAGUAAACCAGGCACAGCGAUUGAGUGGCAGAGCCGCCACCACUCAGCCUCUUCCUCCCGUCGCCAUCGCCAGGAGUCUAAGCUUCACGGUGGGUUCCGGCUUCAUGGUGCAGGGCGCGGGCUGGAUUUACAACCCUGGUGGGCCUGAUCCAGCCCGCGGGCCUUAGUUUGUCAACCCCCUUUUUAAACAAAGGCAUACAUGAGUGUUGGGUGGCAACUUGUGAAUUGCUCACAAAGGAGAUACAUCACCAGAAAGGAUAUUUGCAUGUGUUAUUUUAUAUAAAGAGAUGCAAGUUUUAAAAUAAUUUCUAUAAUUUAUUUAUUUAUUUAUUUCAUAAAAGUUAAUACACUGCUUGAUUGCAAAAAAGCCCUCCAAGCAGUUUACAAAAAAAGGCAAAACAAUACAAUUAUCAGUAAAAAAAGAAUUUAACAGCAAUAAUUUAAAACACUGAGAAAAAUUUAAAAUCAACAAUAAACUAUAAACAGAUUAAUACAUGCACCAGCUUUCUAAAUACCUGGGCAGACUUGUCUAAACAGAAAUGCUGAAAAGUGCGCAGUGAAGACGCAUUCCCAGUAUCAAGAAUUCUGAGAGAAGCACCGCACAUUCGACCAGACCAAGUGACCUGUGUUCCCCUCCAGGCUGCUUUCCAGGUGCUGCUAAAUGUUGACGGGCAACGUGGAGGCCCCUCCUGCUCGCCUCUCCUUAUGGUCCUUGCUUUUUGAACAGAAAUUGGACCAGACAACUCUUCAGAUAGAGGGCAUCUUAAAGCAAAGGAUGCCUCUGUAAAGUUAGGGUACAUCGCCACCUUAAGUGAAGGGUGCAUUACUGUGCCAGCCACAGUACCUGGUGGCCACUCAAGAUGGGUGGGAGUUCCUGUGGAUCCACACAGCUGUGAAUAGGGUUGCCACCUGCACAGAACAAGACACACAAGCACAAAGUCGGUGAAGCUGUCCCUCUCUAUGCCUGGAGAGGGCUGCUGUUAAAGGGAUAAGAAAGUCAGCAAUCCUUGUGGUAUAAAACACGAGUCCUUCAGAAUUCAAGACCUGAGCUUGUGCCACACUUUCCUGUGGGCUGAUGGCCCUGCAUACUUCCCGUGUAUUUCAUUGUACCCAGGUUGGAAGGAGAUCUUAAAUCUGCCACCACUUGGAAGUAUUUUCUUUUAAAAUUGUAUUUUAUAGUUUAUACAAUGAAAGAGAAAAUGAAAUAUACUUGGAGUCCUGUAGUGAUUUCCUGCUCUUUAUUGCAGCUUGUAAAACAGUGAUUUAAUUGCCCCACAAACCUCAGUACAUUAUUUACACAAUGAGUCCUGUCUGAUUGGCUUCCCUCCUGGAGCCUGAUUGGUCUUUUCCUGCACGCUAAUCAGUUGUUGCAUUCCACGAUCCUACCAGCCUAAUAGGCUGAUUAACUUCCUCCUGGAGCCUGAUUGGUCUUCUCCUACAAGCCAAUCAGUUGUUGCAUUCUAGGAUCCUACUUGCCUGUUGUUCUAGGAUCCAAGCUUAGCACAUAACAGAAAACAACAGCACAAGUACAAAUGACUCUGGAGUAAUGCAGUUAAAAUUCAAGCACACAGCACUUACUUGGUCUGCAACAGAAUAAGAAAGAGAAGCUAAGGCUGAUGUUCUGUGUCCAUUUACCUAUUGAACUUUGCUGUAAGGAAAUCUGAGUAGGUGGGUGGAGGGGAAGUGAGUGAUGUUAUUUUGGUGAAAGUAAUAAAUGGAGAUCUCAUCCCAAUGGAAUGCUAUGGAGAGCUGUGGGUGGUCUUUCCAUGGAGAGGUGAUGGCAAAAAUAUGGGAGAGAGAAACACACACACCAUAGCAAGUUCCUUGUGUUUGACUGAUCUCUCCAGGUGAUCUGCAAUAGAUGGAAAGGUGAAAGCAGGGUUAGGGGGAAUGAGUUGUCCUGUAAUGUCAGAUAUUUGCUCAAAUACAAUUUCCCAAAAUCUUUGGACCGGGUUGCAUUCCUACCACAUGUGCAAAAAGAACCCCACUGUUCACAUCCCCUUCAGCACAGUGGUGAAACAGCAUUAUCAAUCCAAAACAAUUUUAGAGGACUCUAGGGCCACCUAAAUAGCCUCUUGAAUUUUAGCAGAGGUGUUUCUUUUUAUAUAUAUGCUGUAUAAUAAUUUUUAUUAAAUUUUCUGUUUUAUAAUUUCAAAUAAACAUUUUACAAACUUUAAAAUAUCCAGUCACUUCCCUUCUUCUUUCCAUGGUUCAUUUUACAUAUCAUAAAUCCCUGCAUAUGUUACUAUAACAAUUCAAAUCAAUUUUCCACUUUUACAUCCAUCAAAAAUUAUUUACUCUGUUGAAUUUAUCUUAAUGCUGCCAGUGUUUUCAGCUGUAUCGUUAUUUUCCAUAUAUUCAAUACAUGUUUUUCAAUCUUCUUUAAACAUAUGUUCUUCCUGCUCUCCUAUUCUAUAUGUUAAAUCUGCAAGUUGUGCAUAUUUUGUCAACUUAAGUUGCCAACCCUCUUUAGUUGGGACCUCGUUCCCUUUCUGUUUGUGGGCUAACAGUUGUUGCAUUCAUAAAUAACCUUUUCUGGCACCUGGGAAGUUCAGUCUGGGUUAUCCCCAGCAAAAAGGACUAAGGUUUUUUUUGGGGGGGGGGGGAGAAGUAAUUUUGAACAUUUUUUUCAAUUCAUUAUACAUCAUUUCCCAAUACCCUUUUACCUUUUUACAUGUCCAUCACAUGUGGAAGAAUGUUCCCUCCACUUCUUUACACUUCCAACACUUAUCUGAUUCUGUCUUAUAAAUCUUAGCCAACCUACUUGGAGUUAAGUACCAUCUAUGAAUCAUUUUCAAAUACUUCUCUUUCAAUGAAUAGCAUGCUGUAAAUUUCAGGUCACUUUUCCAGAGUUUCUCCCAGAGGUUAAGAUCUCUAUUUUGUGCUUUAUUGUCCAGUGUGUCAUUGAAGCUUUAACAAGCUCCUGUUUUGUUUCCCAUUCUAAUAACAGAUUAUACAUUUUAGACAAAAGUUUAUCUUUGUUUUUUCAAAUUGUAAUCUUUGGUCCAAAAAUUCAUUCUCCCUAUCUAAUUUAAACAUAUCAUGUAACUGGUGAUAUUGCAACCAAUCCGUAACUUGGCUCCUUAGGUUUUCCAUUGGUUUCAGUUUGAGUCCCGCCCCCGCCCCCCAUAAAAUCCAGCAGUUCCCUGUACAGUGGUACCUCGGGUUAAGUACUUAAUUCGCUCCGGAGAUCCGUUCUUAACCUGAAGCACCACUUUAACUAAUGGGGCCUCCCGCUGCCGCCGCGCCACCGGAGCACGAUUUCUGUUCUCAUCCUGAAGCAAAGUUCUUAACCUGAGGUACUAUUUCUGGGUUAGCGGAGUCUGUAACCUGAAGCGUAUGUAACCUGAAGCGUAUGUAACCCGAGGCACCACUGUAAGUCUAUCCAUAGUAACUCUCUUAAUUGUAAUUGCUUUGAUGGGAUAUAACCAUAAAGGUGUUUUUCUUUCCAGCAGAUUUUUAUAUUCCUCCCAAACUCUAUACAGAUUCUUCCUAAGAAUAAGGUUCAUCAAACGCUUACAGAUUUUUGCCUUCCCAAAGACAUGCAUGCCAGCUGAAUUUUAAAUCACAACCCUCUAAAUCUAGGAUAUCUGCAUUGUCCAAUGCAAUCCAAUCUUUUAACUAGCAUAAAAAGCUGCCUUGUAAUACAUUUGCAAGUCUGGCAGAGCAAAGCCUCCUCUUUCUUUUAUAUCUAUCAUAAUUUUAUGUUUAAUUCUUGGCUUUUUUCCCAUAGCAGAUGCAUUUCUGAUGAAGCCAUCUUUCUGAUCUAUAAUCAUUCUCCUGAUCAAAGGUUGGAAUUGGGUCUGGGUGACUCAUACAUGAUCGUGGGCCAGUGUAUGACUUAAAUGGUAGCAAACCCUGUCUUCCCACAACCCUGAAGUCAUAUUUGGGGUAUGGAGUUGGACCCUCUGUACAGUCAUACCCUGGAAGUCGAACGGAAUCCUUUCAACUUCCAAAACGUUCGGAAACCAAAGCGUGGCUUCCAGUUGGCUGCAGGAAGUUCCUGCAGCCAAUCAGAAGCCCCGUCGGAUGUUCGGCUUCCAAAAAUAGUUCGCAAACCGGAACCGUCGUUUCCCGGUUUGCGGCGUUCGGGAGCCAAAACGUUUAAGAACUAAGCUGUUUGAAAACCAAGGUACGACUUUAUAGGGAUCCUUGGAGGGGCAGUAGGGAGAGGAUAUGGAUCCUUCUGUAUCCAUUGACAACUCAAUGGCCAUACACAGUGGAAGUGCAAUCUCAGGCAUGUUUUCUCUGUAACAGGUCCCAUUGAGUUCAAUAAGUGAUUCCCAAGAAUAGAAAUCAUAGUAAAGGAUUGAGUAUCUAAUGUGCAGAAACAUUUACGCAAGCUUAUGUGUAUGUCAAAAGAACAAAUAUUUUUUAUUAAAAAUGAGAGUGGGACUCAUUGUCCUGUGUUGAUAACAUUGCCACAGUUAAGAUGAGGUGUAAAAGAGGAAAUAAUAAUGGCAAAUGCUCUUAAAAGGCAUUUUCAUUUAUUUCCCCAGAUAGGGAGGAGUUAAUCUUGUAUCUAUUUAAUUAUGAGCCUUUGAUUCUCCCCUCACUCCACUCAGCUUUACUAGAAAACUCUUUUCCUUCUUUCAUCAGACAACUGGGGUGUCACUGCCUCUGUCUCUCUCCAGAUUUGUCAGCAUUUUGUGGGAGGAAUUCAGGCUCUUACUGAUAAUUUUAGGUUUUUUCAAUUAAAGUGGAGUGUUUUGUCGCUCUGAUGCAAUGAAUCCACUUUUAAAAAAGAAACAAGACUUUUUGCAGUUUGGGUAAGCGACACUGAAAGGUGUGGAUUAUAGAAUCAUAGAAUCAUAGAAUCAUAGAGUUGGAAGAGACCACAAGGGCCAUCGAGUCCAACCCCCUGCCAAGCAGGAUUGAUUGAAUGAAUGACAAAUGGUAGAUGUAUAAAAGCAAAUCGGGAUGAAUACAGGAUGAACGUUCAUUCUUGUGUAAGCUACAAGCAAACAAAUCAGAACAAAUACUCAAUAAAGACUGGAUAUUAUCUAACCCCCAUGUAAACUUUGUGCAAGCCAAAUCAAGAAAAAUAAUAAAUUGGCUGUCUGGAGGAGCCCUCCGUAUCUGUUUAAGGGCAUAUAAUACUAUUACUGGAGCUAAUCAUGGAAGGUGUACAUUAAACCUGUGUUAUCAUAGGAAGCUGCCUUGCACCAAACCAGACUCUUGUUCUGUCCCACUCAGUUUGAUCAGAUGUGACAGAUAGUGGCUCUUCAGAGAUUCAAGUGGGUGGGGAGAGAGAAAGGUAUCUUCCAGCCCUGCCUGGAGAUGCCAGGAGUUCAACCUAGAACUUUGUACAUGCCAAGUCUGUGCUCUGCCACUGACCUGUGACCCCUCUCUGUCAGUGAUGAAAACUAGGGUCCUUGGCUGAACUGCGCAACAAGACAGGACCAAUUCUAGGGCCACCACACCAGUGACUGUGGGAUCUUGGGUGCUGGUCUCUUGUCUUCUCACAUGACUACACUCUGUCUCUUGCAGAUCUGGAUCCCUUAGCAGGAGCACUGCUACUUCCUGGC